CUAGCCAAUCCUGUAUAAUCUUGGAUAGAUUUCUGUGUUCAACAUGUUUUGUAGCUUUCUUUUAUUGUGCACCAUGCAUUCUAAAAGUUACCUUUCAUGGCCUUCGUUUUCCCACAUCAGUCCCAUCUCUCCCUGCCCUCUAUUUCACUCCUAGUUGUCACUUUGAAUCAAAUAAAAUGAAGUAGCUAUACUUAUUGUCACAUACAUACAUGUUCGGUCAAGAAUUAACAUGAUUAAUAGUUCAUAUUCAAUCAAGAAUUAACAUGAUUAAUAGUUCAGAUUCACAAUCAAAUGACAUGAAUCAACAUGAUAAUAGUUCAUAUUCACAAUCAAACGACGUGAAUCAACAUGAUCAAUAGCUAGAUUCACAAUGUAACAACGUAAAAGCAUCUUAUUUUGUCAAACAGUAAGGGGUUGAUUGAUCAAAAUUCAAACUUAUAGCAAAAUAUAGGGCUUUUUUGAGAUACCCAUAUAUCGAGGGUUUAGAGUCUUGAGGCUGAGGGAAGAAAGGCCCAAUUGAUGGCCCCACCAAACCCAACUUUGCUAGAGUUGGUAAGACAGUAUGGGACAGUACCCUAAAAUGUUCCCCAGUCUCACCCCAUAGGCCAUAGUGUCCUCAAAAGUCUUAUUGCUGGCAAGCAAUAUUCUAAUCCAAAUGGGUGCUCUCUCUCAAUCAAUCUGGGCUUGCCAGUUACCCAAAAGUUUUCUUUAGGAGAAGAAAAGGGAUUUAGAUAAGAUAAGAACAGUGGAUAAUAAGACGCAUAUUGUCUCUGUGAGAUGUGCAUGGAAUGGAACCCAACAACUUGAAUCUAGAGGAAGGAUUUUAUAAAUGUAGAUGAACCAAAGUAUUCUUUGACCCCCUUUCAAAAAAUAAAAUUUUGAGUAUUCUCAGACAUUGGACAUACCCCUAGUUAUUAGAUUAAACGUGGCCAAACUGGGUUCACAGAUAGUGCUAUCUAUCUCCUAAAAAGAAUCUGCCUGCAUAAUAUCCACAUUCACAUCCGAGUUUCAAUCCAACCCUCUCUGUCUCUUGGAAAGACUUUGCUCUCUCUCUCUCUCUCUCUCUCUCUCUCUCUCUCUCUCUAUGUGACUUAGAAAAAGACGUCACUCGUGUCUCCUAUCUUGUUUUGGGCAGCAUGAUUUUGAGAAUCACUUGGUGGUGUCCUCUUGUGUUUUGUUCCCUCUCAAAUAUCUGUAAAGGAUAUCUUCUACUUGCGCAUGAGGCACGAGCAGAUAAACUCAAACUUCUCUUCUUCUUUUUUCUUCUUUCUGGUCCCUGUUUUGAUCAUCUGCAUAUAUACAAGUCAAGAUUGUUGAAUUCUGAUUCAUUUCCUCCCACCUUCACUAAUAUCUGCUGCUUGUAUUAUGUAUAGAAAAAAAAAAAGAAAAAAAAAAACUUGGGCUUCUUCUUUUUGGACUGAAAAGAGACCAACUGACUGGGUUUCAGUUUGUCCCAAACGAGCUCAAGAGAAAAGACUCGAGAAUAUUUUCAAAUUUCAAGUUUAUUUGGCCCAACUCAUUGUAAUCAAAUACAAAAUUUCUAGUUUAGGGUUUUACCCUUGAGGCUUGAGAAGUGGACACGUGUUAAAAAUGUUACCGCGGUUACUUGAAUCUGGGAAGAAAAAGCGACAUGUCAUUCCAUCCCAUCCCAUCCCACAUUUGCAUGGCCCCUGCCCAGUAGAGCUUGCCCUAUAUAUUGACCAGUCAGAGUCAGACACGUUUUAAGUGCUCCUCUUUAAUCUCGACAAUGACAAUGACGACCUCAUAUUUGCUUUCGUUUUCUUUUCAUCAAAGUCCUAGACUCGUAGCUUAGCUAGGUAUGUUUGGUUGGAUCAUAAGUAACAUGAUGCUUGGCAUAUGCUAAAGCAAAGAAAGGUAUGGUCUAUAUAAAUUAAUAUACAUGUGUGUGUGUGUGUGUUCAAAUUCGAAUAUAAUUUUGGAGGAGCUUUGGAGGUCGGUCAAUGAACCAUGUGGCUAGGGAUUAGGGAUGCUAAUAUAUAGCUAGACCUCCCCACAAAAUAGUUUGUUGGGCUGUCGAUCGUCUGUAUUUAUGCUGAUAGCCUUUGGUUUUGAUGUCUCAUCAAGGCUUGCACUUGCCCUAAAGUUCUUUUUUUUUAAAAUUAUAUAUUCUUCUUUUUUGUCUGUUUCAGGUAUAAAAAAAAGAACUGAAGUAGGUUUUUAACUCUCUAUCAAUUGGAGUUACAUUCCCAUAAUGACCAUCUUCUUUUCUGAAAGAGAAACACUUGUGUAGAAUAAGAAUAUAACAAAGUAGUGUUAUCUUAGGUUAAUUACGGUAUGCCACAUGCGAUAAUUUUUUCACUUCGCAUAAUAUGAUUGACCGAGGAUAGCAAAACAAUAUUAUUCCUCUUUCACACAAGUUUCUCUGUUUCUUUUAUUCUCAGCCAUAUUGCGUUGUUAAUUAAGCUGUGAAUGUAUAGGUGAAAUGUACGAUUCAUAUUGAUAGACUCGCUAACUAUAAGACUAGACAUGUUGUAGUAUGCCGUCCAUUAAAGGGAAGAAAAAAAUAUCUUGGACUAGGCUUUGGUAUUCUACAGGAGUCCCCAGGCCAUUCUCCCAUCGACACGUAGUAGAAACCCUAAAGUUAGGAAUGACCAAGAUGGAGUUGACAUUGCUGUCAUUUAAUGUAAUAGACAGCUAAAAAUGAAUGAAAACCUGCUUCAUCUUCUAAAAAGAAAACCCAAAAAGAAAGCAACUCAGUCUGCUUAUGAUUCCUUUUCUAUGUUCUCUUAAGCAAAGCUAAGGAACACCCAACCAACAAAGAGGUAACAAAUUAAAGUUCCUAAAAAAGCUUGCUCUCUCUCUCUCUCUCUCUCUCUCUCUCUCUCUCUCUCUCUCUCUCUCUCUAAAAAGCCGAACUUAGCUUACCCUAAAGAGCGCGCAAGAAUAAAAGAAAACAAAACCUAGUACCAUAUUUAUAUUAUAAUAUACAUAAUUUAGAAAUUCAGAAAUUAAUAAUGGGAAGAGGGAAGGUAGAGCUGAAGAGGAUCGAGAACAAAAUAAACCAACAGGUGACAUUCGCAAAAAGACGAAAUGGGUUGCUAAAGAAGGCGUACGAGCUCUCAGUUCUGUGUGAUGCUGAGGUUGCUCUUAUCGUCUUCUCCACCCGCGGCAAGCUCUAUGAGUUCUGCAGCGGCUCUAGGUACGUCGAUAUUAUAUAUAUAUAUAUGAGAGUUUCUUUGUGUUUUUGUUAUGAAUUUUUUCAUAUUUAUAAUAACAAAAAAUGCAGCGUAAUUUUUAGGGAACUUGGGUGCGUUGCAAGGUAAAGGGUGCCUUAAUAUUACAGAAAUUGUUUGCGUAUGGAAUUCGAGAUGGGUUUUUUUUCUCUUCAUUUUAAGGCUUCUUGCUUGUAUGAAUUGAACCCGUGAGACCAUUUCCAGAAUUGAUUAUUAUAUCACUAAAUGUGUACUUGAGAAGAUCUAAUCAAAUAUUUUUAAUGGUUGAUAUGAUCAAUUCUGAGUUUCUUUUGUAAAUUAUUCAAUGGAUUGCACAUAUUCGUACUAAUCAAGAUUCUUUCUAAGGGGUGCAUAAUCAAGAUUCUCCCUAAUUAAGUUACUAAGAAGGAUAUCUUUCAUAAUGAAUUAACUGUAUAUGUGAGGAUCGAGGGUUGUCAGAAUAUAUAUAUAAGUAUGUAUGUAUAUGUAUGUAUAGGUCCUUUUCUUUUUGGUUCAAGAAACGUAGCUAGCCCUUUGAUUACCUGUAAUGACCUUACUCUGAAGUUUAACUGGUACAAGUAUUUCUCUAAUUAAGUUGACAAACGUCUAGUAACCUAGGUUAAUAGAUUCGUAUAUGAAUCGAUGUUCGUAUUCGCAGUAUGAUAAACGCACCCCGAAUGGAUAAAGAAACAUAUUGGUGUAACCUCAGUGUGUACACCUUACAAAACCAAGUAAUAAGGAAUAGAGAUUUGAAGUUUCAAACUCAAUCAAGCUUUAAAUUAUGUUAGGAAAAGCACCAACAAACUAUAUCACAAUCUUAUAAGCUUAUAAACUCUCCUCCCAGUCGCUUAUUUUCAUGAGAAUUUCAAUGGUGUUCCUUCCCUUGAUGUGUAGCAUGCCUAAUAUUAAAAUGCAAUUAUAGCUCUUGUAAAAUUUUAUUUUUAUGGUUUCAACUCCCAUUAUUUUCCUCUCGUACAAUUCUCAAGAUAAGAUAUCAAGGCUUGAAUGGUACUAACUUUAUUGUGACAUGAUUUGGGCUUUUUUUACUUUCCUAGCACGUGAAUGUACAGAGUGCAUGUGCCCUCUUUGCUCUUUUGAAUUUGCAUUCUGAUAAUUUCCUACAAUCCUUGCCUGCUUUCAUUUUCAUUUCAGCAUGGAGAAGACACUUGAGAGGUAUCAAAGAUGCAGUUAUAGUGCACUGGAAGCGAGUCAACCUGCUCAGGAUUCACAGGUUGUCGAUAGUUUGUCUAUUGUAUUAAUUAGCUUUAACUUUAAGAAGCAUAUAAAGCAACCUAUAUGCCUAUAAAUUUCUUAAUUAUCCAAUAGUACUCUCAAUCUGUUUAGGAACAACUUUAGGGCUCGUUUGAUAACUAUUUCAAUUUUAGUUUUUAGUUUCUAAUUUAUAUGUAGACUAUAGAGGAAAAUGAGAAUGAGAAUUGGAGUGAUGAUGAUUGAGAGAGAGGAUAAGAGGAUGAGAGGAUCGGAGGGAACAGUAACAAAAGUAAAAACUAUUUCAAAUAGAUUUUAGUUUUAGUUUUUAUUUUCACAUUUUUUACUCCUUCCUCUCAAUUCCAUCUUCACUCUGAUUCUCACUUCCAUUCUCCCUCUUUUUCUUCUAUUCUCUAGCACAAAAAAAUAAAAAAUAAAAACUAAAAUUGAAAUAAUUAUUAAACGGACCUUAAUUUCUUGGUUUGGCUGAUCCAUGUGCCGGGUAAUGGAGUUAAAUUUCUCCACAAAACUGCCUCACUGAUUUUUGACAUAAGUAGUUGAACUUCUCUGGCAUGUUCACAAGCAGAGCAGAUACCAAGAUUAUUUGAACCUAAAAGCAAAAGUAGAGGUCCUACAGCGCACGCAGAGGUAUAUAUGAUCAACAAUUUGAUAGAAUUAGAAACUUGUUUGCAAAGCACCCUUCUUGUUAUGUAGGUCAUAUAAUUAUAUUGAGUGUUCAUUUUCUUGGAAUUCUUUUUAGAAAUUUUCUUGGGGAAGAUUUGGGUCAUUUAGGCACCAAGGAGCUCCAGCAGCUUGAGAAUCAACUCGACAUGUCCUUGAGGCAAAUCAGGUCAACAAAGGUACGUAUAUUUUCAAAACCUGCUCCAAAUUAAUUAGCACAUGUAUCAGUUUUCAAUGGAGUCUAGCUCAGUACAAAAAGGGUUUGAUUUGCAGACUAGUAAUCUCAAGUUCAAACCACCAUAGCACAUUGGUAGUAUUUGUGUGAGAAACUCCCUCCCCAUUAUAGUUUAAACUAUUACUUUUAUAUAUAUAUAUAUAUAUUAUUUAUUUUAAAUGGUAACAAUUUGCUAUAUAUUUAUUUGUUUGCAGACCCAAGUUAUGCAUGGGCAGAUUUCUGAUCUACUGAGGAAGGUUAAUAUAUAUAUGCACAGACUAUCUAAUUUUUGUUACCAAGUAUUUUCUGUUCUUUGCGCUUUCUUUUUGGUGAAUUAUGUUACCAAGUCUUUCAAGAAUUAAUUGUGCAGGAACAGAUGCUGCUGGAAGCAAACCAUGAACUGAGAAGGAAGGUAAAUAUACAUUCAAGCUCAACCCAUGCUCAGCUACUUGACCAAUAUUCAUUUCUAUUUUCCAUUAAUCAAAACAAAUUCAUGUCUUCUCUCCUUAUACUAAAGCUUUUAGUCACGUGAAAACGCGAUCAAUAAUCUACAAAAGUAACCCGAAAAAAGUGACUAUUGCCAACAUUUUUUUGUAGUGGUUUUCAAAUAGCUAUACAUUUUGGGUCUAAAUUUUCAUGUAAAUUGGGCAGCUGGAGGAAUGUGACGCAACCAUUGAAAGAUAUUCAAGGACAACUAAGGAGCAAAAUCAAAAUGUUCCAAAUAGCAGCCACCACCAGGCUGCUCAAUUUGAGGGAGUCCUUGAUCAUUCACAAUGCAACAAUACAUUGCAGAUCGGGUAACCAUAUAUCUUAUAGCUAAAGGGUCGUUUAAUCAAAUUGCAUUAAUUCCUUGCAUCUGUUUUUUUUUAUAAAAAUUAAAUAAAUAAAUUUUGUUAUCUUUCUAUGUGGGAUACGUUUACAGCUACAAUCCUCCUGAAGUAACAGAUCAUCACGGGCUACAAUCCUCAACGCAAAGUCAUAGUGGAUUAUUCGUCCCUGGGACGUGGGUGCUCUGAAUCUUGGAGCGAUAUUGUCUCACAUGCAGAGAAUAAGAGAACAUUAAUAAACUUUGUGUUAAAUAUAUAUAAUGUUAUAUGUACUACGUAAAUCAGUGGCGAAGCCAUAAUUUCAUGUGUGUGGGGGACCUUUUACAAAUUAUAAAUAAUUAAAAAUUCGAACUCACAAGAUAUACGAAUUCAAAAUAGUAUAUAUACAUAUGUCAAGAAUUAUAUUACUUAUUGAUUGUAAUCAUAAUUGUCUUCGACAAAGAGAUAGACAAAUACAUUCUAAGCAAGAAAAAUUGCAAGAGAUAGACAAAGAGUAGCGAUUUAGCAAAUAUCUUUAAAGCUUUUUCCCCCAUUAAACCCAAUAGAAAGGAAAAAAAAAAUCAAAUUUUCACAAACUAAAAAAACUUUAGGUCCCUUCAUGUAUUCAUAUCAUACAAGAAAAAAUGUUUUAUGUAAACAUAUUGACUAAAUAUGAAAAAUGAUUUUUCGGAAUAAUCAUUUUCUCAAGAUAAUUUUUGGCGGCUUUUAUUCCUUACACAUCAAAUAAGAAAACUUGAUUUUAUGGGAUUUUAGUAUGAAGUAUAUAUUGACUUAAUGAGCCAUCAUUUUUAGUCUAAAUCGUAUUUUGCACUAAAACCGAUUUUUCAUAUUUUGAUUUUAUGGGAAUUUAAUUUUAUAGUAUUUUUAUUUAAAUCUAAAUAGGGGGUACUUCCUUAUUUACAUUGUAAAUUUAAGUAAAUGAAGUAAUAUAAAAAUAAAUGAAAGUAAAAGGACAAAGACAUUUACUUAAAUGCUGAAAAUAGAAAUAAGGUAAUUUGUACACCUGGAGUGCACCACCACCAGCUGAGCAAAUGGGCAAUUUGAAGCACCUCCUUGUGUCUUAAUAGGUCCGCCACGACACAUAUGGGUACAUAUCAAAACAUAAAGUAUUUGAAAUAAUAUACNNNNNNNNNNNNNNNNNNNNNNNNNNNNNNNNNNNNNNNNNNNNNNNNNNNNNNNNNNNNNNNNNNNNNNNNNNNNNNNNNNNNNNNNNNNNNNNNNNNNNNNNNNNNNNNNNNNNNNNNNNNNNNNNNNNNNNNNNNNNNNNNNNNNNNNNNNNNNNNNNNNNNNNNNNNNNNNNNNNNNNNNNNNNNNNNNNNNNNNNNNNNNNNNNNNNNNNNNNNNNNNNNNNNNNNNNNNNNNNNNNNNNNNNNNNNNNNNNNNNNNNNNNNNNNNNNNNNNNNNNNNNNNNNNNNNNNNNNNNNNNNNNNNNNNNNNNNNNNNNNNNNNNNNNNNNNNNNNNNNNNNNNNNNNNNNNNNNNNNNNNNNNNNNNNNNNNNNNNNNNNNNNNNNNNNNNNNNNNNNNNNNNNNNNNNNNNNNNNNNNNNNNNNNNNNNNNNNNNNNNNNNNNNNNNNNNNNNNNNNNNNNNNNNNNNNNNNNNNNNNNNNNNNNNNNNNNNNNNNNNNNNNNNNNNNNNNNNNNNNNNNNNNNNNNNNNNNNNNNNNNNNNNNNNNNNNNNNNNNNNNNNNNNNNNNNNNNNNNNNNNNNNNNNNNNNNNNNNNNNNNNNNNNNNNNNNNNNNNNNNNNNNNNNNNNNNNNNNNNNNNNNNNNNNNNNNNNNNNNNNNNNNNNNNNNNNNNNNNNNNNNNNNNNNNNNNNNNNNNNNNNNNNNNNNNNNNNNNNNNNNNNNNNNNNNNNNNNNNNNNNNNNNNNNNNNNNNNNNNNNNNNNNNNNNNNNNNNNNNNNNNNNNNNNNNNNNNNNNNNNNNNNNNNNNNNNNNNNNNNNNNNNNNNNNNNNNNNNNNNNNNNNNNNNNNNNNNNNNNNNNNNNNNNNNNNNNNNNNNNNNNNNNNNNNNNNNNNNNNNNNNNNNNNNNNNNNNNNNNNNNNNNNNNNNNNNNNNNNNNNNNNNNNNNNNNNNNNNNNNNNNNNNNNNNNNNNNNNNNNNNNNNNNNNNNNNNNNNNNNNNNNNNNNNNNNNNNNNNNNNNNNNNNNNNNNNNNNNNNNNNNNNNNNNNNNNNNNNNNNNNNNNNNNNNNNNNNNNNNNNNNNNNNNNNNNNNNNNNNNNNNNNNNNNNNNNNNNNNNNNNNNNNNNNNNNNNNNNNNNNNNNNNNNNNNNNNNNNNNNNNNNNNNNNNNNNNNNNNNNNNNNNNNNNNNNNNNNNNNNNNNNNNNNNNNNNNNNNNNNNNNNNNNNNNNNNNNNNNNNNNNNNNNNNNNNNNNNNNNNNNNNNNNNNNNNNNNNNNNNNNNNNNNNNNNNNNNNNNNNNNNNNNNNNNNNNNNNNNNNNNNNNNNNNNNNNNNNNNNNNNNNNNNNNNNNNNNNNNNNNNNNNNNNNNNNNNNNNNNNNNNNNNNNNNNNNNNNNNNNNNNNNNNNNNNNNNNNNNNNNNNNNNNNNNNNNNNNNNNNNNNNNNNNNNNNNNNNNNNNNNNNNNNNNNNNNNNNNNNNNNNNNNNNNNNNNNNNNNNNNNNNNNNNNNNNNNNNNNNNNNNNNNNNNNNNNNNNNNNNNNAUUAUAGAGUGUGGGACCCAUUGUAUUGGUGGGCUCCACCUCUAUUAGAGAGUUGGUACACAAGUUGGUAUCUAAAGUUGGUCUCCCUAGCAUGACCCAUAACUAAAUGACUCAACUUAGUAAGAAAUACAAAGAAGUUAGAUUUGACAUGACAUGUUAUUGUCAAACUUAAUCAUAAAUUAUUAUUCUAAUGCGUGCCACAAACUGAACAUUUCCUUCGCCAAACAGGUUUAAUAAAUUAACAAAUUAAUCAUUUUUCUUAUGCAAAGCGAUAUUCUAAAGAGUGUUGUUAUUUCAACCCACCUGUCUUAUUUCCCCAUUCACUUAUCUUCAAAAUUUUAAAAACAAAUUAACCCCUUUGUAAAUUGACUUCUAUAUCCCUUAACUAAUUGUUGACACAUAAAUACUCACUUUACUCUAAGCUGACACUGUUAAGUCAAAACAAUAAAAGUAAAAAUAAAAACAAAAAAAUUAGAAGAAAAAAGGCCAACAAACAACCACCAGACCACCCACCCAGCACCACAAACCGACCUCCCCUCCUCACCUCACCACCAGCCACAUAUUCAACAUUCUUCAAAACUUCAAAACCAUGCAAUCCCAAUUCCACAUAUAUAUUCAACAUUCUUCAAAACCACACAAUCCCAACUUCAUAAAUUCAAUAUUUUAGAAAACCUCAAAAACCCAAUUCUAAAAAUUCUACUACUUUUUAUAACGUAGCAGACCUAAUUCCACAAAUUCAAUCAUUUUCAAAACCCAACAAACCCAAUUUCACAAUUUCAAUAAUUUUCAAAACCCAACAAGAGGGCCAACAACGAGAAGGAACACGCGCAUAAAAUCUUUGUAGCACUUGAGCAUGUCAGGGUUUAGGGUUUAGGUACAUCAAAGGUGGUUCAUGUUAGGUUUGGUGGAAGGUACAUCACAGGUGGUUCUUUUUAGCUUUGGUGGAGUGCGCGGCGCUUGCUGAAUUGAAAAUUUUCAUUAUCUAAGUGUUUUUUUUUUGGACUCAACAAUGUGAAGUUAGGGUUAAAAAGUUUUAAGUGAAUAUCUAAUUGUCAAUAAUUAAAAGGUAUUUUAGAAAUAAUGAUGGGUAAAAAUAUAAAAUAUUAUUUUUUAAAAUUUAAAAAGUGAGUGAAAAAUAAGACAGAAGUAAAAAUAACAUCACUCAUUUAAAAUUACUUUAAUUUACACAAAACGGAUAUACAAACUCGAAUUAAUGAUAACUGGCACAGUAACUUGAACAAUUAAUGAAACCAAAAGUGCUUUCAAAUACAAAUGCUUAAACGGUCAACAUCACGGUAAUGUGCCAUGCGAAAGCUGUCAGUGUAAAGAAGACCGUACGAUGUGUGAGGCUAAUAAGUAACUAGUGAGCUACUAAAUGAGCUCCACUAGAAUACAAGAAAGAUAAAAUGUGGUUCCUAAUACAGAGGGAAACGACGACACAUUACACCCCAGCCAACCACAACUCGACAACACAUCCUCAAAACCACUUGUACUCCCUGAAACCGCUUUUCCAUCUCAACUCGUGCCAUGUUAAUUAUAAUCCUCAUUUUCCAUAUCCUGCACACACUUUCUCAGACGCCUUCAGAGCUUUGGCUACAAGAAGAAAAAAAAAACAAAAUUAAUUCAGUUCAGUUCAUUUCUUUAUAUAUAUAGGGUUUCAAGUUGUUGUCUUUCUUUUUUUGGGGCUAGGCUUGGAUUUUGCUCUUGUUUGGGUUUUUUGGUGAAAGAAAAAUUAAAGAGGCAGGAGGUGCAAGCAAAAGAGUGUAAAGUUUUAACUGAGAGAGAUCGUAACUGUUAUCAUGGGAAGGGGUAGGGUUCAGCUGAAGCGCAUAGAGAACAAGAUCAACAGACAGGUGACUUUUUCCAAAAGAAGAACUGGGUUGCUCAAGAAGGCUCAUGAGAUCUCUGUCUUGUGCGAUGCUCAGGUUGCUCUGGUUGUCUUCUCCAACAAGGGCAAACUCUGUGAGUACGCCACGGAUUCAUGGUAAAUAUUAUACAUAUAUAUGAUUUUCUUGAUUUCUGUGGUUUUGUUUUCUUUGUCGGUAGGGUUUCACUGUAUAACUAUGUCCUGACUCCUGCUGGCUGAUCAAUUUGUCAUCUGAUUAUGCUGGUUAGUUUAUGUUUUUAAGAUGUAGAUCGUGCAAGGUAAUUUGCAAAUAGACGACAGCGUACUUGAUUUGAUGUAAAGUAGUACUCUAAGAUUAUACGCUUUUGUUUCUUUUUUGGUCAAAUUACUUCAUGCGUACUUGUCUAAAUUUGAUCUCAAAAUUAUGUUAGUGAGCAAGUACUUGUAUUUAUUUUGGAUCAGCGACGAGACUAAGCAAAAAAACCUGUUAACAUAUUUGUAAUCAAAUUUAAAAAUAAUUAGUAAUAAUUUAGCUGUAAAAUUGUUUAAAAUAAUAAUUUAAUUUAAUUCACUUCACUUGAGAAACAUAGUAAUCUCGAACGAAGUUUUUGUUAGCAAAAAGUGAAAAUGAUGAGAAAAAAAAGGAGUGGAAGCAGCAGGAAAUAUAUAUAUAUAUAUAUAUAUAUAUAGACCCCAAGAAAGCUCAAAGAAAAAAAAAGGGCAUUAGCAUAGACUAAAGUAAAAUAUUUACCAUUUGAGUGCAUAUAAGAAAUUCUAAUGAACAUGACUUGAAAGUUCUUGAAUGAUAUAAUAUAUCCUUGAUUAUUAGUUAAUUUGUUAUAGAAUAUAAGUCCCACGUUGAAACUUUGACUAAAUAAAAUACACUAUAUAAUGAGUGGUUUCACUACUAAUAUCACCGAGGCAUUUUGCGAUAAAAACCGACACCUAUUGGUCAUUGUGGUUAAAUUGGGCACAAUAUCAGUGUUGCUAAUAGUGGACCGUUGGCCCGUCUCUAUGAAAUUUAACAUAAUUAACAUUUUGAUUUCAUCUAGAUACAUACUAAUUAGUUUGUACAUUUUAUAUAUCUUGAUGCGCUGAUCGUGUACAGCAUGGAUCAAAUACUUGACCGCUACGAGAGAUACUCUUACGCAGAAAGACAGCUAGUCGAACCCGAUAUUGAAUCACAGGUACUUGCCUGAAACAAAACUCCGCGGAUAUUAUUGUAUCAUGAGACUGCAGCCUUUUUAAAUGAUUGAUAUGGUCUCUUGGUAACGUUGUACGUUAUACAUAUAUAUAUAUAUCAUGCGCAGUGUAACUGGACCUUCGAAUAUUCUAGACUAAAGGCUAAAGUUGAGCUUUUGCAAAGAAAUCAGAGGUACUAUUUAGUGCUCCAGUUACAGAAACAUGCUCACUUUGUUUUCCUUUGCAUGUUUUUAUUAAUUACUUGAACCUCUAUGGGCAGGCACUAUUUGGGAGAAGAUCUCGAUUCGUUGACUCUGAAAGAGAUCCAAAGUUUGGAGCACCAGCUCGAGACCGCUCUUAAACAAAUUCGAUCAAGAAAAGUACUGAACUAACUAGCUGGAAUCAGCCUCCUAAUUCUACUUUUGAAACUAAACAAACACUUUAAUAUUUUCUUUCUACUGCAGAACCAACUCAUGCAUGAGUCCAUCUCUGAGCUUCAGAGAAAGGUUAGGCCUGUUGUAGCAUAAAUUUUUGACUUGUAAAAAUUGCAGCAUCGAGUUAAACAUGUUCGUAUGUUUUCUCUCAUUCGCUGUGACAGGAAAGGGCGAUGCAGGAGCAAAAUAACUUGUUGGCAAAGAAGGUAAAUUGCAUGCACGCGACGCAAACUUCAUGAACUUGAUAGAUAAUCUUUUUAAAUAAACUACCAGGUGCCACAAUAAACUCGUCAAGAUGUUAUCUAGAGUUUGUGGUCUGGAGUUGUAUAUGUCUUUAAUUAUUUUGCUUCUUUUUAUUUUUAUUUUUAUGGUUUCUGUUUUCCUAUGUACAAUUUGUGAAUAGAUCAAGGAGAAGGAGAAGGCCGCAGCUGAGGAGGUUCAUAACUGGGAGCAGCAAAACAAUGGCCUCAACUUGCUUCCACAGCCGCUUCCAUGUCUAAACAUGGGGUGAUUAAUUUUCUAGGACCUAUCUAUCUUGAAAUUAAUGUUUUCAUUUCUUUGUUAGUAAAUACUUACAUCUAAAAUCAUUCUAAGUUACAUGGAAAUAUGUUAUAAAACACCAUAUGAUCAUACGCAGGGGCACGCAGCAAGAUGAAUUCCUUCAGGUGAGGAGGAACCAGCUGGACCUUACUCUGGAACCAUUAUAUUCAUGCAACCUCGGAUGCUUUGCUGCUUGAUCAUCAAUCAGUACAAAAAGAACAAAACAAAACUACAUAUGUUGGUUUGGUUGUGUAUUAAAUUUCUGGUUUCUUGGUAAAUUUGAACCUAGACUUUGCUAAGGUAUGUGGUCGCAAUCCAAUCAUUGACAGACUAUCAAACAAUGCCAAUGAGGAUUUCAACUUUAAAACUGUUCUAUUUAUUGAUGCCAUAAUUGUUGAGUAAAUAUAUGUAUGCUAUAAACUCUAUAUGACUGCCUUUUUGUCUAAUUUACACCCAAAAAAAAAAAAUCAGAAAUCGGAAAAAAUUGAAUGGUAAAUAAAGUUAGGUUAUAGAAAAUGUUUGAAUAUAAGACACUGGUUAUGCACAAGAAAAGGAAAUGGAAAUAUCAUGUGAAUGGACUUCCUAUAUAAGAGGAAGGUUAACAGCUAGAAUAACAUUGAUCUCAUUUGGAAAAUUAAUUUAAGCCGGAAAGUUAUAGAAUACUUACAGAGCCUCGAUCUUUCGAGAAGAAAGAUUUUCAAAAGAGGAAUGAAAGAAUUGAUAUAAAUCUAAGGUAUCUAACAUAUCGAUUAUGAGCCUUUCGUGCAUCUACUUCUUAGAGUUUAGAUUGCUUAAACUCUUCCACACACAUAUAUAUAUAUAUACUUCAGUUGGUCGCUGCUCUUCACUCUUCAGUGAUCAUUGCAUUCUAGACAUUUUGGUUAAGUCUCAAGACGAUUCAUCAAAUAGCAUCACCUAAAAAAAUCAAUUUGAAGACAGUCAGGGCCUGUUUAGUAUUCAACUUGAAUCCAACAUUUUAAACUCAAAAAACAAAGAAAACAUGUUUGGUAGCUCUAUUUUUUAAAACUCAAACUCAAGAACAACUGAAAAACACCCCAAUUAUUAAAAACAAAAAAUAUCUGUUUUUUCAGUUUUUUUUUCUCUAACAACCCACAAGUUCUCAAAUUUUUAAGAUUUGAAAAUAAUUUUUAAGUUGCAUACCAAACAAGUUUUUGAAUCUUAAAAAUAGAUUUAAGAACUCCUUGUUUUUAAGAAAAAUCAAAAUUUUUGAGUUCCCUAUUUGAAUAAGAUUCCAAACGCCCCUCAAAUUCCAUAUGAAGUUACAAAUCCAGCUCUUACAUGCACCUCACUCUUUUGUGAGGAAGCACGAUUGAAACUUUUCUCCGUAGAUUGAAAAAAAAAAGAGUUGCAAAAGAAGUUGGGGGACAGUUUGGAUUAGUUUAUGUAAAAAUUCAAACACCAAAAAAAGAUAUUUGUUAUCUAUACAAGUUAUUAGAGUUAUGGAAGAAAUUGAUUACCCGGCUGCAAAUAGGACAGUUUUGGCUUCUCUCCAUCCAUUCAUAUAUACAAGCAAGGUGGUAGUGGUGAGAACACUGCAUGGUUGUCUUAGGAUUUUCAGGUGUGUAUUCUGCAGGCAUUACAAAAACAGAGGUGCCAAGUUUUUACCACCAAACAAAUAAGAAGAUAAAUAUAAUAGAUUUGCCAUAUGGCACCAGAUAUUUAGAAAAUAAUAAUCACCUUCAAAACAUGUGGGGCAUUCAUCCUCAUGUUCUAUUGAAUUUGAAUCAUGUAAAUAAACAAGUUCUUGGGCUCUUUUUCCAGAUGGUGUAAUCUCAUUGGGUGCUGUAGACUCAUUGGGUGCUGUAGACGAGGCUGGUGCAGCCUGAUCAGUAGAUGGAUUGACUGAAUCUUUUCUCCCAUUCUUGAUUGAGGCUGCAAAUUCCUUUAUCUAAACAUUUAAUGAUGGAUGAUCAUGAUCAGAAAUUGAUUAGAAGCAAGUAAAGCCCAAAAAAUAAAAAAUAAAAUAAAAACAGAACCAAAGAAUUUGGUAUACUACUUGUAAUGGAAAACCCAGAAACAUACUUUGUUGCACAAGUUAGGGAUGAAGCCAACAUCAUUAUUAUCAUUAUUAUUGGCAUUGUGAAUGUCAUCUUGUACAUGGAAGCAACAACAAACAGAACCCAUGACACAGCUUGAUCAGUUUUUUGCUUCCUUCAAGCUUAACCGGUCCUCCCCUGCCUUGCCUGCAGUGAUCAUAACAAAACCAAAAAUAUCUAAAUAUUUUAAGAGGCAUAAAAUAAAAGAACCAAAUCCAAUAUGAAAAAACAGGCUUGCUGAAGUUGCAGAGAGAAUAUAGAAGAAAGCAUACUUGAUAGAUAGAUACUCAAUGGUGACGCUUCCUUCCUUCUUCCCAUAAACUCCCAAACAAACCAAAACUGAAAACAAAUAUAAAGAAGCGGUAAUUCAAGUCCUAAAGCCGUGUUAUGUGCAUAAUCCUACUUGUGUAAGGAUACUGGUUUCCGCAUACAAUCAGUAAUUCAGAACUGGAAAGGUAAAGAUUACGUGUGGGCCAUUGUUUGUGGGCCUUUUCCAAUUUUUUGGAUUUUGGGUCGGGCCGAAGCCAAUUUGGAUUAGGCUGAGUUUUGAACCGACUCAACCUAAAGUUUGGAACAAAGUUUUUGUGUGUGUAUUCUAUUUAAAUGAGGGUCAAGCGUAAAGCAUCCCCUUGUCUAGGGUUUAUUUUCUGUUUCUUAACAUACAGUUUCUCUCUUGUUCCCUGGCUCUCGAGGUCAGGGGCGGAUCCACCAUGGGGUCAAUGGGGUCAAACGACCCCAUGGCAGAUCUGGAGUUUAGUGGUAGGGACUGGUUUUUGCCCUUGGCAGCCAUGGAAGUGACCCCAUGGAGAAGAAGAAGAAGCUUCGGUGGUGGCAGCUGGAGCAAGAAGAAAGAGAGAGAGGGAAGAGAGAUGGAGCAGACGGAGGACAGAGAAGAAAGAAAAGAAGAAGAGAGGAAGAAGGAAAAAGAAUAAAAACAGAGAGGGGAAAAAGGAAGAAGGAAAAAGAAAAAAGAAAGAGGGAGACGGGAGGAGGGAGAGAGAGAGAAAGAGGAAAAAAGAAUAAAAAAGAGAGAGAGGGGAAAAUAUAAUAAAAAAGAGAGAGGGGAAAUAUAAUAAAUAUUUUUUUCUUUUUUUUUUCUUUGUUUCCUUUCAAACCCUUCUAAAUAUUUCAACAAUAUUAAUAAUAAUUCCAUCAUUUUUUCUAUUUCAAAUGUCGUAUAAUAACAAAAAGUUCUAAAUAUGAAGAAGAAAAUAUAUUGAAAAAAGAUUGCUUAUAUAAAAUAAAAAUAUAACAACAAGGGCUUAUAAUUUAUCCACACAAAAAAAAAAAAGAAAAAAAAAGCCACUCCUGUGGGUCACCUCUAGUUUUCAGUUCGUACAAUCUAUUGUUCAAGCCUAAAAAUAUACAAAAACAACCAAAAUCCACAAAAACUCACCAAAUUUUCUUAAUACAUUUGUACUUAAGGUAAAUUUAGCCCGCCCGAUUUGCAAUUCCUGGGUCCGUCCCUGUCCACCACCAAUAUCUCAUCCCUUGACAUCGCCGCCAAGGGUGCUAGCUGCCGUUCACCAACAGUCGUCUCCGUCGCCGUCACUAUUUUUGUGACCCCACGAGUGACAAUUCCUGCAUCCGCCACUGCUCGAGGUUAAACGUUUAAUUUGAAGACUUGUUGGUUUCGAGGUCGGAGGUCUUUCAAUGGCCAUAAAAUGUGGUGCAACGAACCCGGAACUUGCAGACGAAAUCAUAUUCUCUCAUAUACUCCCACGGCUACCAGCAGAGGAUCUGAUGCGAUGCAAGUGCGUAUGCAAGUCUUGGUCCUCCCUCAUCCGCAGCCCUUCCUUUGUCGCCUGCUUCCACGACUUUCACAGCAAUGACACCACUAACUUUUUUUUCAGACGGAUAAGCGAGUUCUUCUCGUCAAAAAUAGAGCAACAAGGGACUGUUCCAACACCCGGCGCCGAAAUUUUCCAAUUUCCGAAUGAUUAUUUUACUGAUGUGCAGAGUGUCCAUGGCUUGGUUUGUGCAUCCUCUCACUCCAACUCUGUUUUCAUACUUAACCCUACCACCCGAGAGUCCAUCCAACUUCCCCAUUCCCGUGUAAUAGAAACCCGCACGCCUUCGGUUACAUAUCGCUUCGGGUACAUUCCAAGUACCAACGAGUAUAAGGUUCUCCAGAUCCUCUCCUUUCGUCUAGACAUUGAUGGAAAAUGGGAUCUUCAGUUUAACACAUUGACACUAGGUAGGGAUUAUUGGUGGAGGCCAUUGCAGGUAGAUCCUCGCCAUCUUCCUUUUGAUGCUCUAGCUUAUGCCUUUGACUCUUAUAAUAAUAUACUUAGACAUAGUGGAAGUGUGUGCCUCAAUGGGGCCGUCCAUUGGAUAUACGAGAAGAAGAAAUUGAUAGUCGCAUUUGACUUUAGAGAGGAGACAUUCAAAGCGAUCCCACUACCUGAAGAUUAUGAUAAAGAGAUUGCUGAUUAUUUUGAUCAAGAUGCCAAUCAUUAUAUAGGUGAUGGUAAUCCUGAUGCUUAUUGCCAUCCAAGUAUGGUUAAGGUAGGGGGAUGCGUGGGUGUGAUUGUUGACAUGUCAUGGAAACGGGACAAGAUCAUGUUAUGGACUUUGAAGGACUAUCAUAACCAUGUGUGGGUUAAGGAGACCAUUAGCUUGGCAUCAGAGCCAAGUUAUCUUGAUUGUCCGCGCUACGUUGAUGCUUUGGGUACAGUCCACACUGGUGAGUUUGCGCUGGUGCACUAUUUUGUUGGACUUACUCCAGGAUAUGGUGACGGUCCACCCAGAGUGCUUCUUUAUGAUAUGAAGAGCAAACAAUAUAGAAUAAUUGAUUUUGUUUUUCCGGAAGAUGAUGAUUGGCGAGAUGAGCCUCCAAUUAAGUUAAUUACUAAUUAUGAUGAUAGCAUUGUCCCCUUAAAAUGAGAGAGAUUACCUUAUAUACCCAUGUUCUAUUUGCCGUCAUCUAUUAGCAAAUUUCACUGUAUUUUGCUGAUUGCUUUUUUUCUUUUUCUUUUUCUUUUAAGGGUAAUAAGAUUAAUCUUUCUUUCUGGGGCACUCUAUUUUUCUAUUAAUACAGUAUAGCAAUUCUCGUCUGUGUAUUGGAAUUUGGAUAGUAUAUAUAUUUUGAGACUAGUUUCUUGUUCCUAACCUAACAACCAAUGCCGAUGCUUCCUUCCUUCUUCCCAUAAAAUCCCAAACAGACCAAAACAGAAAACAAAAAUGAAGAAGCGGCCGGUAAAGAGUAGAAAAGCAAAACUCAAGUCCUAAAGCCAUUGUUUGUGGGCCUUUUGCAACUUUUUGGAUUUUGGGUCGGGACCAACUAGGGGUGGGCAUCGGGACCGGAAAACCGGAACACCGAACCGAACCGGUGAAAAAAACCCGAAAAAAAACCGGUUGACCAAAAAAGUCAACAAACCGGACCGAACCGGUUCCAACCGGUUCCGGUUUUGGUUUUACAUCUCUCCGCACCGAACCGGACCGGACCGAACCGGACCGGACCGAACCGGACCGGUCAUAUAUUUUAUAUUUAUAUUUUUACAAAAUUUUAAAAUCUAAUGCCAUUUUUUAACUUCUAUAAUCACUAAUUUUCCAAGUUCAACUUUAAAAAAUUUCUAAAUGUAUGAAUUGGAUUAUUUGUUCAUUUUUAAGCUAAAAAAAUAAGUUAUUUAUUAUAAUUUUUUUAUUAAAAAAAUUUAAAAAAAAUAAUAAAUUAAUAAUCCGGUUCAAAACCGGAACCGGUCAGAACCGGACCGGAACCGGUUAGAACCGAACCGGCCGGUUUUCGAAAUUUUUUUUGCCUAAACCGGACCGAACCGGACCGGUUAAAUAAUACCGAUUUCGGUUCCGGUUUGAGGUGAGAACCGGACCGCGCCCACCCCUAGGACCAACCCAAUUGAGUGUGCGGCCCAAAUGUACAACUGUAUUCAAUUAAAAAUUUUAAGUAAUCAAUAAAAGUUUGAUGACAUUUAAUUAGGAUUUUUAAAAGAUAACAAAAAGUACUGUGGUGUAUUGUGUAAAAAUAAAAAAAAAAAAUCAUAAGAGAGACAAUAAAGGGUCCACAUCACAACACACUCCCCAUUUUUCCUCCUCUUUUUUUUUUUUUUCUUUCCUUCUCUCUCUCUCUCUCUCUCUCUCUCUCUCUCUCUCUCUCUCUGUGUACAAUAAACAGCCACCAUUUUUUUUCCCCAAAAAAAAAACCACCACUUUUCUUAAGACGGCAUAGUGAUUAUUAUUGGUAUUCCUCCAUACGAUUUGGCUACACCUUUAGUUAAUGUGGUGAGCAAAAAUGCUCCCAUAGGAAUAUAAAGUAAAAUCCUAUAAUUGUAAUCUAUUAAAAUCAUAAGUAAAAUCAUGUAAUUGCAAUUUAUUAAAAUCAUAAGUAAAAUCAUAUAAUUACAAAUCCGAUUGAAAUCCAUUAUAUUAAAAUCUGUUAAAAUCUCAAUUGAACACACCCCCUUAAAAUUUGUAGUAUAAGGGCUAAAACCGCUUGUUCACAAUGAAAAACGCUUAUAAAAUUGUUUGGCAAAAAAUCUUAUGAAUCAUGAAAAAAAAAAUUUAAAAGCACUUGAAUAUCUAAUAAAAAUAUAAAUGUACUUAUAAUAAAAGCGCUUCUAACUAAACAAUAUCAAACGGUCUCUUAAUUCAUGAAGGAAAAAAGUCAACCUUCAUCACUUAACUUGCCAGACUACAAAAACAUAAAAACAUGAUAAGACAUGCAUAAGAAACUUCUUUUUAUUUUUUUUUAAAAAUCCACUGUUUUGCUUUCAAAGAUUGGAAGUCAAAUUGGAGGUUGGCACGUCCUUUCUUGGUGUUAAAGUUGUCCAUCAAAGCAUAGCCAUCCGAAUUAAUGAAAGAUUUUACCACUUCGUUUCAUGUGUCAUUGUGUCAACCCCAAUGUUCAUCAUGAGUCACAGUUUUAUGCUAAGCUAUACCAACCCCAAGAAAUCUCAUUGUAUUUCUGACAUUUUAUGCUAAAGUAUGAAUUGCAGUUGAGCUUUAUGCUCAAUCAUUUAUAAUUUUUAUUUUUAUUUUUUAAAUUUUGGGAAUAUGUGGUAAACAUGAUUGGGUUUGUGUGUAAAAUUUGAUUACUUUCCGAAUGAUUGUUUUGGUUGCGUUUGAGCCACGCUAGUUGUUUAUGAAAAUAGACAACAGAAGUUCUGCAUAAUUAAUUAAAGCCUUUAUAAAGUUCUAAUUUGCUCUAAGAGGAUGCCAGCACAAUUAGGGAUUAAAUAAAUAUAAUCUCACCUAACAGAGUAAGCGUCCCUUGAGCUGCAAUUCAAGUGGUGUCACACACUGAUCUUAUAUUAUAAAACUUUUAUCGGAAUUAUUGAGUAAAUAAAUUCUUAUUUGUUGCUUUGAAAAAUAUUAAUUAGUACAUUGAUUAUGUGACUAUAAGAUGCCAGAUUGCCCUGAAGUGAACAGCUGCAGGGUCUAAAUUCUAAAAGGAAUUUGCAUGGCCCUACAGCUUCAUGAUAAGCACGUUCAGAAAUAGCACCCCACAAGGGAAAAAUAAAAGAAACAGAGAGCUAGCAUGAUUACACGGCAAAAAUAAAGAAAAAGAAUAAAGCAAAGCAGAAAAUCCAUGGCCCCCAGACCAACAUCUAGAAAUUUGUUCAGCUUCAGCCACAGCCACAGGCAAGCCAACCCAAGUGUCUCUCUCUCUCUCUCUCUCUCUGCCUUGCCUUCUUCUGCCCUGCUCUUUAUAACAUUUAUAGCCUAGGUGUCUCAAAACUCAGCUGAGUUUAACCUCAUAUCAGGAAAAAAAAAAAAUGGGGAAAAUAGGCACCAAGUUGCCGGGCUUCUGCCUAAACAGAAUUAGGCCCCAUGUCAGAGUUCGUUCUCCAACUAUACAGUCCAAGGUAGAUGCUCCCUCAGAUGUCACCAAAAACAAUGCUGAUAAAAAAGCUGAGAAUUCUGGCAAUGUUGGGGAAGAAAAAGCUGGUGGUAAUGGAGCUAUAGCUAGGAAAAUCAUGAUUGUGGUUGAUUCUAGCCUUGAAGCUAAAGGAGCCCUGCAAUGGGCUCUCUCUCACACUGUUCAGAGCCAGGACAAACUUGUCCUGCUUCAUGUAACCAAACCUUCAAGUUCAAAACAAGGUUUGGAGAUUUUUUAUUUUUGGUUUUUGUUCCUACAAUUUGAUUUUCUGAAGUUGAGGAAACAGAGUAUUUUAAUGGAUUAAUCACUUGUUACAGCAGCUGGUGAGGAGCCCAGCAAGGAUGUAGCUCCAAGGGCUUAUCAACUUGUUCACUCUUUGAGGAACAUGUGUCAGUUGAAGAGACCAGAGGUGGGUAUUUUACAGUUUGAUCACAUCAUUAAUUGGCCAUUCCAAACUUAAUCACUAUUAGCAAAGCUUUAAUUAACUAGAGCUAAUAGAAAUUUCUUCUGGGCAAGUGCAUGUGUGUUUGUUGCAUCACAGAAUUAGAACAGAGGAAAAUACCAACUUACUUCUUUUAGUGUUUCUGUAGACAGAGGUUCAUGUUUUUACUUCCCUUUAAAAGGGUACUUAAAAUGGAAUGUUGGCUUACCCAAGUUGGCAUAUAGCAUUUUUUAUCAUGUGGUAGCACAGUGGAGAAAAUUCCCAGUUUAGUCUUGUGCAUUGAUGAGAUACUUCAGAAAUAGAAAAAAGAGCAGCUAAUUAGUAAGAUCAUGCCCCACAGCCCACAGUAAGACGUGGCCAAGCUUUUAAAUUCAGAAAUAGUCCUUCAAUUUAAAGGUCAAGCUCCAAAAAUCAGGGUUAUAAAUAUCAUUAUCAAUAAAUCAUACUCCUAAUAUCACAGGUACAAAUUGAGGUUGCAGUGGUGGUAGAAGGUAACAAGGAGAAAGGUCCAACUAUACUGGAAGAGGCCAGAAAACAAGAGGUGGCACUGCUUGUUCUGGGGCAGAAAAAGAGGUCUACUACAUGGCGUUUGCUGAUGAUGUGGGCAGGCAACCGGGUGGGCGGCGGUGGCGGCAGCAGCGUUGUGGAGUACUGUAUACAAAACGCCAGUUGCAUGGCAGUUGCUGUGAGGAGGAAAAGCAGGAAAGUUGGAGGCUAUUUGAUUACCACAAAGCGCCAGAAAGAUUUCUGGCUCUUGGCUUAAUUAACUAAAAUGUGUUAUAUAUAUGAUAGUCUAGUCUUACUACAUGAAAAAGUUAUGAUUGGUUUUUUUGGCAUCUGUUUGUAAAUUAAAGGUGGUUAUGAAUGAAAAAGUGUUGCUGUGAUCAUUAUUUAGGCCAUUGGCCUAUUAUGUGUUUGGAGAGACAAUGGGGUCCCUUGGCUCCUUUAUCUCCAGGUCUUGCUAUACUGUUACUUCAGUGCGUGAAGAAGGCCUAGCCUAGCCUAGCUCACAUCACAUGGUGCCAAAUUACCAGAGCAUCUUUGGGACAGAUUCCCUUGGUUAGGACAUGGUGGGGGACAUGUUAGCCUACCUGACCCUGUCCUUGUUGUCACAUUUGAGCAAAGUGGUUAGUUUGGUUGCUAAUUUAUGGAAAUCAAAGUGUUGUUGAGGUAACUACUUAUAUGAGAUGGAAAUCAAAUUCUUUUAAUCAGAUUUGAAAAUCUUGGAAGGCUUUUCACCCCAGCUAAAGCCACAAAAGACUUACUGUUACAGAGAGCCCGCGAGGGGUUUGUAGCCCAAGGUUAAGAGUUACCCUAGUAUAUGAGGUCUUGUUUUCGAAUCCCCCUCCUCUAAUAUCACUUGUAUAUAAAAUAAAAUAAAACAUAAUAUAGAGCUGGGUUCAUGAAUGACUCAUCAUUAUAGUUUGUGCAAACGGGAAAAGAUCAUGUUUGGAAGGACAGAAAGCAUUGUUGCCCUUCUGCUAAAGUCUGAAUGGGGCGGCCAUGCUUGGAAUCGGAAGGAAACAACACAAUGUAGCUAGGCCCCUGUUUUCUGAUUUAAAGAAAAGCACUCAUUUUCAAUCCCAGGCCUGAAAUCCAUGCUGCAGCCUGCAGGUCAGUUCUAUCUAUGUCUUGGGGCCUUCAUCUGCUGCGCCUUCCCAAAGCUUUGUCAGAUGGAAAUUUAGAAUUUCUAUCUUUGCAUCUGCAUAUCCAAAAGAUGAACACAACCUAAUGAUUCUAAUUGUCCUAUAAAACAAAAGAGAAACAUAGUGACGCUUAUGUUUAAUCAUGAACAAAUUAAAAGUCCUUUAUGUUUAGUUUUUAAAUUUUUUUAAUUAUUAGUAUUAGUCCUCCAAAAAACUCCAUACAUCAAAAGAUAUAUGUUUGGUUGCAAGAUCAUGUAAUGCAUGACUUAAUCAUUAAAAUUGGGGGAUUCGAACGUGGAAUCACUUUAAUUUCUAUCGUUGAAAAGAGAAAUACCACUAGACUAAAAGUUAGUUGAUUCACGGCUUACAACUAAUUAAAUAGUGAAUAUAAUAUGGUUUUACACCAAAAGAGUAAGUUGGUUAUGGUUGAACUGGUUUAACUAAUAGUGAAACAAGUUGUUUUUCUAAUAUGAAAUAUUGAAAUCUAAUCUUUGGAUUCACCAAAGUCUUAGCAUAGCUUGUUUUCAGCACUGUGGAUCGGUCUCAUAGUUAAAUAAAAAAAGAUUACUUUUUUUUCCUACCAACACCAAGUUACUGUAGGUGGUAAUUUGCUAACUACUGUAAGUUGAAUUUUUUUUUAAAUUUUUAAAUUUUGAAAGAAAGCUUAACAAAAGCCUAUAUUAGUGAGCUGGUUAAACCCAUGGGGCUCAAACGAGUCAGGCGAUACCCGACUGGAAUCCGACCCGCCCGUCAAAGUCCCCAACUUCCAAGUUCUCCAACCAACGAACUCAACUUCCCGCAAAACCCUAAACCCUUCCUUCUCCGAAUCCAUUGAUAGACAUAGACCCUUCAGCACCAGCUCAUAUCUGCCCCCAUCAAGUCCCAAUGGCGAAACACAAGGAUAAGAAGAACAUGAAAUCAGGGCCAAACGCCGUCGCCAUGAAGCACCAGGCCCCAAAACCCAACCCCUUCGCGGCCAAAGCACCUAACCCUAGCAGAGCGGACACCAAGAACAAUAAGGAGACGACGACGACGAAGAAGAAGAAGAAUAAGUUGGGCCCAAGCUCCAUAGCCAUGAAGCUCCAAGCUCCAAAACCCAACCCUUUCGAGACCAUAUGGUCCCGAAGGAAAUUCGACAUUCUCGGAAAGAAACGCAAAGGCGAAGAGCGCCGUAUUGGCCUCUCUCGCUCUCAUGCCAUUGAAAAGGCACUGACUUCAUCACUCCCUUCGUAAUUCCAUUCAAAUUUCCAAAUUUUAUUUUAUUUAUUUUUUUAAUUUUUUGUGUGCGCAGAGGAAGAACACGCUGUUGAAAGAGUAUGAGCAGAGUAAUAAGUCUUCGGUCUUUGUCGAUAAGCGAAUUGGAGAGCAUAAUGAUGAGCUCGACGAGUUCGAUAAGGCCAUUCGGCGUUCCCAGCGUGAGCGUCUGGUAAGUCCAUUUUCCAAAUGACUUUAUGAAACUGAAUAUUUCUUUGUUCAAAAGCUUAUCUCAUAGACGUGUACAUUCUAGCAUAUGAUAUCUAAUUUCAUUUACUUUCCUCCAGCUUUCUACGCAAUUGUAACUCGAUUUCAAAACUAUAUUCAGUUUAAGUCAUUGGUAUUUCAUGAUUAAUCUCUUCAAUUUCUCAUUACACUCUUUAUUCUGUUCUCUCUUCCUUUUUCUUUAAUAGUCAAAGCAGAACAAGAAAAGCAAGUAUAACUUAUCAGAUGGAGAAGAAGAGGACUAUGAAUUCCAAAGUCUUGGUGCAUUAUCUGAAAGGGAUGAUUUUGAGGAUGAUAUGCUUCCUGAUGACAAUGAAGAUGGAGCCGGAACUGCUAAAACUAAGAGUAUGUAUGGAGAUACUGCGAUAUGUGUUGUUUGUUUAUUCAGCGGGGUUUACUUUUCAUUUGUGCAGGUUAGAUUCAUAGUGUAUCAUUCAGGGUCCAGAGACCAAUUCAAAUUUGGUUAUUGAAAUGUCGAUGAUUUUUAACUGUAAUCAUUGGAUAGAAGUACAUGUGGGUGAUGGUUGAGCUGUACAAUUCUGGCUUCUGGUUAAUAUCUUUUUUCUGGAAUAGGCUUUAUUGUUAUCGUACAAGUAUUGGAAGGGUCUCUUGCUCAUAUCCAGUAAAGGAAAAUAAUAAUACAUAAAUUGAUAACUGAUUUUUGAUGUAAACCAAAAUGUUUCGAGUGCCUUUACGUUUUUUUUCGGGCAACAUGUGUACAGUGCUCUUCAACUGUACAUCUCCCUAAAUGUUAUUGCUUGGGAGUAGGCCAUAGUACUACUACUCUUAGUGAAGGUUGCCAUUUCCGUUCUGUAGUUGCUUUUCAUGUUUGGUUCUGUUGGACCAUUGAAACUGCUUAGAAUUUGGUUAUUUAUUCUUUAGGACUAUGCUAAUGGUGUUAAUGCUGCCUGCCUUGUUUUCUGCAGAAAGGUUAGCCACACUAGAUCAAUUUGAGUCCCAUGAUAAGCAGAAUCUACAGGACGAUGAUCCAAUGGAAGGAGAGGAAAAUGUGAGGUCUUCUUUACUAUCUGAGUUUCUGUGCAUUAUAUUCAAAUUCAAGAUUGUAUAAUUGUCUUUGCUAGAUUUCAGGAUUUUAAAUGACAUUUCCUGACUGCUUCAUUUACCAUAGUUUUUCUCUUUCAAAACUCCCCCAAACCUCUUUAUAUGUGAUUUCCCUUGUCCAAAUUUUCUUAUAGGAAUUAAUUCUUUCUUCUAUAUGAUGUCGCAAAUAGCCUGUCAAUCUUUUUCAAUCUGCAAUUUGGGAAGGGGAUUCAAGUGAUCCUAAUUUGUUUUAUUGUUUUCAUUAUACAGAGACAUAAAAGCAAGAAGGAAGUAAUGAAGGAGCUUAUGGCAAAAAGCAAGUAUCACAGGGUGGGAUUUUAAUUCUUUAUGGCAUUCAAAUUGAUUUAUGAUAAUGGCUACAUUUUUUUCUCCUUUUUUUUGUCCUUUAGUUAUGAUUUCCAUUCUUCAUUAUCUUUUGGUCUAUUCCCAGGCAGAAAGAGCAAAACAUAAGGAAGAACUAGAAGAUUUUGGGCAAGAAUUGGACAAAAUCUUUACAUCCAUGGCGCAGUCUAAGCUUUUAGAAUUGGCUGAACCAGACAAGAGUGUUCCAAAUGAGAAGAAGGAUGAGCUUUCUGGACAGGUAUGACAUUUUUGAUGUAGGUCCUUUCUUGGUCCUGACACUUCCCCCUCAGCAAUAGUGAUGCUAUUGGUUUCUACUUCUUAAAAGUUAUGAAGUGUUUUUUUAAAUGUUCUUUAAUUUAUUAAGUCUUUAAUUCCUUGAUAUUUUCAAUUAGCAUGUUAUGUUCUCUGAUUUGCAUAGUAUUGCUUCCAAUUUUGCAGUGUUUUUAUUUAUUAAUUUUUAUGUUAUCCUUUUGUUUACUUGUGUGUUUUCUUUAUGGAUGUAUUAUAUGAAGCUGUAGCUCUUUAUGUUCCGCUUACAUAAAUCUGAGUAUUCGCAACUUAAUCUAGUUUGCUGUAUUUGGCAGGAAGUAGCUCGCUCUUACUUCAAAGCUUUGGGAACAUUAGCAUUGGAACGCCGUGGUCAGCCCUCAGAUAGGACAAAGACACCUGAAGAGAUAGCACAAGAGGAGAGAGAGCAGCUUGAGCAUUUGGAGGUAUCUCAUUUAGUUAUGACUUAUGAGUGUGCUUGCAUUCACUCAUGUUCAUGCCUGCUUUAUGUUGGGGUUUUUUUUAUUGUUGUUAAUAAGUUCAUUCUAUUGGUGUCAAUAUCAUCUGAAAAUUAAGAAGUAAUGUAACUCUUUUAAUAUAGCUACAUGGUACAAAAAGUAGGUUGACUAUCCAACAGUAAGUUUCUUCCCUCAUGUACCAUGUAAUAGUUGAAAUUUUUCAAUUUAUUUGUAAUAUUAGCAGUCCAUAUUAGUAUAUAGUAGUAGGUUGUUGGUCAGUACAAUAUGCAUGCUUUUGCCCACUAAGAUGUGUCGUUCAUAUUUUAUUCAGUUAUAUGGUAACUGGUGUCAUCUGUAAUGUAAUUUGAUUAAUUUAUCAUGUACACCUUGAUUCUGGUGGCACAGUGGCAUGAUAUUUUUAGGAUCUAGCAAUGCUUUAGAGUCGACGUUUUAGGCUUUCCAUUUCCUGUUGUGUCUGAAUUGUACUUUUUAUUAUGAAGUUGAAUGCUCACUAGAAUUUGCGUCACAAUUCAGGAAGAGAGACAGAAGAGGAUGCUUGCCACCGAUGACUAUAGUGAUGAUCAAAAUGAAGAUGAUGAGAUUCCGUCUACCCAGAGGCCAAGGGCUAUAUCUGGGGAUGAUCUUGGUGAUUCCUUCUCGCUUGAUGAAGAGCCUAGGAUUAAAAAGGGUUGGGUUGAUGAGAUUCUUGAAAAAAAAGAUGCUAGUGAUUCUGAGAGUGAAGAAGGCGGUUCUUCUGAGGAUUCAGAAAGUCCUGAGGAUGGCAGUGAUGAAGGAUCUGAUGAAGAUGAUAAUGAAGGUGAAAAGAAUCUAUUGAUGAAGGACUGGGAACAGAGCGACGAUGAUAAUCUUGGAACAGAUUUGGAUGAGGAGGAAGAAGAAGAAGAAGAUGAUGAUGAUGAGUCUGAAGGACAUGAAAAUGAUGAUGAUGUUAAUGAAAAAAAGAUGGAGCCAAGAGAGCUUAAAAGGUUGAAAAAAAAUGAUGCUAGUAAAAAACAGGGCAAGGUAUCUCAGGAUGGUAAACGACCUUCUACUCAAUCAGACCUCCCAUACCUAAUCGAAGCUCCAAAAAGCUUGGAAGAGUUAAGUGCAUUGGUGGAUAAUCUUUCUAAUUCCAACAUUGUCGUGAUAAUCAAUCGAAUCCGGAAAAGCAAUGCAAUCAAGCUUGCAGCAGAAAAUCGGAAGAAAAUGCAAGUAUGAAACUUCUGGCUGCUUUUACAUUUUGUAAAUGAGUAUUGCCUGCAUUAUGUUAAAAUGUGCAUCAAUUCAGGUUCCUGCAUUUCCAAUUCGUGAUUUAAUAGUUUGACUUGGAUUUAACUUUCGUAAGCAAAAAUUCAAGUGAAUGAAGAUAUACAUAUUCUGUUUUCAUUGUAUAUGCUAAGUACUCAUUGCUGUUUCUGUCAUUUUCCAGGUAUUUUAUGGUGUACUUCUGCAGUAUUUUGCCAUCUUAGCAAAUCAAAAGCCGUUGAAUAUAGAGUUAUUAAAUUUUCUGGUUAAGCCAUUGAUUGAGAUGAGUAUGGAGACUCCGUACUUUGCUGCAAUUUGUGCUCGUCAGAGAAUUUUACGGGCUCGAACUGAAUUUUGUGCAACUGUUAAAAACCCAGGUAAUUCAUAAUGGAGUCAAUAGUUUUGUUUCUCUGGAAUCACAGUUAAGAGCUUGCUCUUGCUAAGGUGCUAAUUCAUUGUCCAAUUGUUUUGUUUCUACAGAAAACAGUUGUUGGCCUUCUUCAAAGACAUUAUUUCUUCUGAGGCUUUGGUCCCUGAUAUUUUCAUGCUCUGAUUUUCGUCAUGUGGUCAUGACUCCAGCAACAGUGUUAAUGUGUGAAUAUCUGGCGCGAUCUCCUAUCGUGUCUGGACGUGAUGCUGCAGUUGGUUCUUUCUUAUGCUCUAUGCUUCUCUGUGUAUGUAUAUUUAUGAUUUCCUUUUUCUUUGUUAGACGCAUUUUUUCAAUAGAUUUUCAUAACAGAGAUUUUCAUAGAAUUGUAUUUCAGUCCAACAGUUUCAGUUCCACCUUUUUUUCAUUUGAUUAUUUUAUUAUGUAGAUCACCAAACAAUCUAGGAAGUUCUGCCCUGAAGCAGUCAUGUUUCUCCGAACAUUGCUGAUGGCAGCUAAAGACAGAAAGCCGGCGACAAAUCAAGAUUCUCAGGUAUGACUGUUCCUUGUAAUGUAAUUCUUGACCAUAGAAAGAACCGUAUGUUUUUAUUGUCAUGAGAAGGCAAUUAGUUUACAGUUGCAUGAUGAAGUAACCAUGCUCUUUUUAUUUUUCUGGCAGUUUUAUGAGCUUAUGGAAUUAAAAGCACUCAUGCCCCUUUUAUGUAUACGUGAAUGCGUAGAUCAGAUUGAUCCUCUGAAUUUUCUUACGUUAAUGGACCUGCCAGAUGACUCCUCAUUUUUGAGCUCUAAUAAUUUCAGGUUAGUUGUUUGUUACAGUAUUUUUUGAUACAUCGUGGAAGUGUCCAUGGGAUGCAUUAUAUUUUAGACCUGAGAUUGUAUAUCAAUUGUUGAUACAUAACUGUAAAGUUUGCAUAUGCUCUUCUAGCCAACUAUUUGGUCUUGGAACUAGGUGGGGUAAACUUGAUUUCAUAUUGCCGAAAAUUAUAUACACAGAAAGUGCUGCUCUUUCUCAUAUGUCUUCAGAGUCUAUUUUUCAAGUUAGUUACACUUUUUAAAAAGUUGAACUUUGAAUUUUCAGGGCUAGUGUGCUGUUGACUGUAAUUGAAACUCUACGUGGAUUUGUCAGUAUCUAUGAAGGAUUCAGUUCUUUUCCUGAAUUUUUUUUGCCCAUUUCAAUAUUGUUGGUUGAAGUGGCGGAACAGGAUAAUAUGCCACAAGUAUUAACAGACAAAUUUCAAGAUGUUGCUCAACUUAUUAAGACAAAAGCAGAUGAACAUCACAUUCUGCGGCAACCACUUCAGAUGCGGAAGCAAAAGCCAGUGGCUAUCAAAAUGCUUAAUCCGAAAUUUGAGGAGAAGUAAUAUAUCUUAACCCCCCGACCCCAAUUGCCUUAAUAUUAUUUUUGUUGGGCAGUUAUACUUUGAAUUGCGUAAACACUGAAUGAUAUGUUGUUCUGCAGCUUUGUUAAGGGCAUAGACUAUGAUCCAGAUCGUGAACGAGCUGAGAGAAGAAAGUUGAAGAAAGUUCUAAAACAAGAAGCUAAAGGGGCUAUCCGUGAACUGCGUAAAGAUAAUUCUUUCUUAUAUGAGGUGAAGGCGAGGGAGAAGGUGCUGAUGGAAGAAGAAAAAGCUGAGAAAUAUGGAAAAGUAAGACUCUUCCUUCAAGAGCAAGAACACGCUAUGAAAUCUGGGCAAUUGGGAAAAGGCAGGAAGAGAAGGCGAUGAGCUUGAGACUCUCCUUGAAGGUUAAGGUAAUAAUAAAAAAAGGCAAUAAUAGCAGCAUUCUGAUUCCGUUCUUUUUUUCUUUCUUCCUAUUUGUAGUUUUGUAUAGUGCUUGGGAAACUCUCUCACACUCCCUCAUGCAGGUAUGUUCCCGUAGAUCAGAAGCCGGUCUUGUAUUGUGGAUGUGCUGCGCUGCCUUGCACAUAUUCCAGAUGAAGCCAAUUAUUUGGCGCAAAUUUUGUGCAACAUUAAUUUAUUUAUUAGGUGUGUUCAUCCUGAAAUAUUGCAUUAAAUUUUUGUUGUAACGAAUCGGUUGCGGGAUGAUUGAAAAUUUAUUUAAAAGCUUCUUGUGUUUAUAAACAUUUUGAUUCUCAGAAAUCUAAAGCAGUAACAGAAUAGGACGUGAUUUAUCCAUGGCGGUGAUUCGUACUCAGCUUUCAGAGUUUGUAAUUGUAACUACAUUCAGAGGUAAAAAGUAGAAACAAUUAAAACAAGGAAGCAGAAAGCUUAACCUCCAAGAUCAGAAGGGUUCCAUUAGCAUAUUAAUAGAUAGGGAAAUGCAUAAUAUUAGAAAUAGAUAGAUUUUUAAACUGCUACAACAGUUGAUUAUUCUUAUAUAGGUAGCCUCAAUCAGCUUCAAGUGUAAUAUCCUCUCCCACUAGCUGGCUCCUACCUACUUGCGCAGGUCUCUGAAAUAAGCAGAAGGGUUUCGCUCAAAAUCAUCCCUGAAGAUUCUGCUGUCUCUGCCGGGAGCUUUCAUCGUCCUCCUCUGCCCUGAACCUGAAAAAAGUCCAGACAAACCAUAACCCAGCACAGCCAGUCCUGCCACAGCAACAGCUGCAAUCACAAGGUUGGACACGUCAACCUCAUGAUUACACAAGUCAACAGCAUUCUCAUCUCUCUCCUUGUUGUUCCUAGAGCUAGAGCUUCCCCUGCUUUCAUUCGCUCCCAUUUUUGCAACUCAAAUAGUAGCUGGUUUUGUAACUUCUGGUUGGAGGGUGCAUGGCUAUGGCUAAUGGCUAAUGGCUAUGUUUAUAUAGAGAGGGAGCGUUCAUUGAUUUGUUUAUGGGAAUUUAAAGAGUCGCGUAAGAAUUAAUACAAGCAUUGGAAGUGCCAGAAUAUUGAUUGCUUUGUCCAUCAAACUCGACCUUCCAAUUUCCAAUUACCGCGAGGCGACAAGAGUGGUGCAUUGGAUUACGGGCUGUCUCAUUUUAAGGCAUGGAAAUUGAACGGCAUGCAUGGUUUGUCCUUUGUUUAUCAACGACGUAGGAGCAGCGGCGGGACCAUAAAUUUUUCAGCGGAGGUGCAAUUUAUUACUAUCAUCAUCAACACCAAUAGCUCAUUUUUAACAUACUCUAUAUAAGUAAUUAGGAGUGAGCAUCACAAAACACUAAGCAUAAAAAGAUAAUCACAACAAUAGGGGAUGUUGAGGAGAGGUAGUAUUGCCAUAUGUUUAUCAAAUUCUACCAUGUUGGUUGGCUGGUGCUGGCCACGGAGGCGGCUAAGAAGGAGGAGAGGGAGCACGAUAGCUAGGAAAUAAGCACCGGGGGUUCUUCCUAGCUUGGAAAAUCAAAUCUUGGAAGUUGAAUAUUUGUGAUAUUGCCCAAGCUUUAAAAUUGAAAUCAGCAGGCUUGAUAUUUGCUGAAAAUCUAACAGAAGGGGUCACCAAGAUCUUUAUGUUUACAAGAAGCUAAUACAAAUGGAGUGACCACCAUAUUUGACAAAGAUCCUACAUCUUGGAUUUCAGUAAAAUCAGAUACUCGGAUACACUACAUAUACAGAAGAGAUAGCUAUACUGCCUAGCCACAAAAAAAUGGGAGAAAUCUGGCAGACUAAAAGAUCGUAGAUUGACUGCAAAACAGAAAACUUCCAUCUCUGUCUUCGUACGAAUCAAAAUUAUCAACCCGUGUCCAUAUAAACGUGUUCCUUUUUUUAAAAAAAAAAAAAAAUUUUAAACCCUGGUCCAAAACGACAUCGUUUUGGCCAGGCUUUGUUAUAAACAAAAAAAACGCGUGCUGUGCAGCACCCAAGCCAUUUGCACAUUUCAUCGACCACCUUGUGUGCGUCUCUAGUCUAAGCAGAGGUGCAACUCCAGCAUUUCUUAUGGAGUUUUCCGGCAAGCGGAGGUGUAGGUACACCUCCUUGCACCUGCAAAGAUCCGCCACUACAUAAGAAAAUGCAAGCAACUUUUUUUCUAACCUUCGUUUUUGAAUUUUCUUUCUUUCUCUUGAUAACAUGUGUAUGUUAUCAAUUCUUUGUCACAUAAAAGAAUGUCAUUAAUUACAUUAGCGUUUAUACAAAUUUUUGGCUCUCUUUGGAGUAUACAUUUCUCCCCUCAUUUUCACUCUUAAUUCUCAAGUAAAAUUAAAAAGAAAUAAAAACAAAAAUUAAAUGAAAAUCAAACUAGCCAGCAACAAUUUCCAACUCUCACAGCCACGCAUCUUACCCAACUUGACGGCAACCCUCCCUCCUCACCGCCAGUAACGUCGAUUACCCAUGCUCCAAACUAAUCUAAUUCCACCAACUCAACAUAAUCUUUUUAAAAUAAGAAAACUUGCAUAUUGAAGACCUCAUCAAGAUGAUAAAUGGAAAAUUAAAGGAUGAUAAUUUUUAUUGGGAUAUUUGGGGUUUUGAUUUGGAAUGAAUUGAAGGUGUGAUGUCAGAUGAGAUAUGGGUCUGCUGCUCAUGGAUUGAAGGCCCGCCUUCUCUCAUCUCAUGGUUCACCAUGCCGCCAAGUCGCAAGGGAAGUUGAUGAUCACAUGUUGAGAGAGAGAGAGAGAGAGAGAGAGAGAGAGAGAGAGAGAGAGUUGACAUUUGGCUGGCGGUGAGGAAAGGGAGGUUGCCAUCGGGUAGGGGCUGGUGGGUGGAUGGGAGGGGUUGGGUCUGCUUGCUGGGUUGUUUGUUUUUCAUUUUAUUUUUUGUUUUUGUUUUUAAUUUGGACUUAACAAUGUCAAGUGUCAAUACUAGGGGUGAAAAUUGGAUUGGAAAAUUCGAUUCCGACCAAUUCCGUUUAAAAAUUUUCAAAAAAAAUCGAAUUCCGAUACAUCAAAUAUCUGAAAGUGCCAAAAUCUGAAAUUUCCAAUAAAAUUUGGAUUGAAAUUAGAAUUUAUCUGUAAAUUCCAAAAUUUCAAUCCUAAAAUUUCCAAAGUUAUCCAAACCCAUUCCAAUCCAAUUUUUUCGGUAAAAUUCCAAAAUUAUAAUAAUAUUGUAUGAUUUAUAAUUUUAAUUGCAUUAUUUUUAGUUUAUAAGUUCUAUAUAUGUUUCAUUUCUUACUUGUUAUAUUUAAGUACCCACAUACAAAUAUUCAUAUAUAUAUAUAAAAUAUGGGAGUAUAUAUUACUUUAAGAUGAUGUAUGCGUCUAUAUAAAACACACAUACAUGUAUACAUAAGAAAUAUACACAUGCCUAUAUAAACUAAAGAUUUAUUAUAAAUACAUAUAUGUGCGUACGUAUAGGAGUAUAUAUUACUUAAAAUGAUGUAUUUUUUGCUAAUAUAAGUUGUUUUGAAUAUAACAAAUUUUUAUAUAUAUGGUUAUUAUAUCCAAACAUACUAUAUAACCAAAAUGCAUAUGUGUGUUUAUUACUUAUGAAUCAUGAUAUGAGUAUAUAACUUUAAGACUACAUAUUUUUGACAAAUAUGCUUGUUCGAAUAUACCAAAAAUGAAUAUGUGUGCUUGUUAUAUCCAAAGAUAGGAAGUAUAAUUUGUAUUCUAUGUAUGUGUGUAUUUUUUGUACUUUUAAACUAUCUUCAUUUAAACAUUCAAUUAUAUAAAAUCAAUUUUAUACAUGAAACACCACAUAUAAAAUAAGUAUAUUUAAUGGGGCUUGACAAUUGCAGUUUUUCAAUUGUCUAGAGCAAGACUUAACACUUUUUUAAGAAUGAACAAAUAUACAUAUCAAAAACUAUUUUUCCAUUAAUUUUCCAUUAACAAAUACCACGUGAAGUACUUUCAUUUUGCUUUGGAUGUAUGUGUGUAUCUUUUUUGUUACAAUGUAUGUGUAUACAUAAAACAUUUCCCAAGUUAUAUUUAUAUAAACCAAGAUUAAACAUACAUUUAAUUAUAUAAGAAGUAAAAAAUAAAAAUAGUAUAUCUCUCUCUCUCUCUCUCUCUCUCUCUCUCUCUUUUUGUCUUUUUCCUUCUUAUUCUUCCUCUCUGUCUGUCUCACUCUCUCCCUCUGUCAUUUUUUUCCCCUUCUUCGUCUUCCUCUUCUUUCUCUCCGUCAGUCUGUCUCUCCCUCUUUCCUUCUUCUUCUCUCCAUCUCUCUCUUACGCUGGUGGUGAUGGUGGUCUGAUUGGGUUGUGGUGGUUUGAUUGGAUAUAGGUGGUAUUGAUGUUAGGGUCAAUUGAGUGUUGCCAUCCGUGAUGCUGUGGCUUUUGGAGUUUUUUCAUGAGUGGUGGCAGUCCCAUAUCGACUGCAAACAUAACUUCAGCUCUUUCAUGCUCUAUAAAUAUCUUCACAUCAGCAACAUUUCAUGAAGACAUAAGGCUAGCCUGAUAUUGUACGCGGGCCUGAAUGUCAAAAUCAGUUUGGGUUUUUUUUUUUAAUUUCGCUAAUUUGGGCUUUUAACAAAAUGUCCAGUUGAGAUGUUUGCUAAAUGCGUAGUUGAGCAUAAAAAUCAUUAACACUAAUGUUAUCCGAAUUUUUUUCGAUUUUUCCGACAUAUCCGAAUUUUGAAUUCUGAAUAUUUUAGGAACACUGGUUUCUGAUCCGUUUUAGCCGAUUUACACCCAUAGUCAAUACAUUUAAGGCUAAGAGCAUUCACAAUAGGAGGGUGUAUAAGGGGAUGUAUGUUAAAUAUACACCUUUUGUCGCCAGAAUCGUCUCCAAUUGGAAGAUGUAAAUGGUUGUAAAAAUACACCCCCACCAUGGAGAUGUAAAAUUAAAUGCACAUUUGCAUCUUUUUUUACAUCCUUUGCAGGCCGAACCCACAAGAGAAAAAGGGGAAGAGAAGGAUUUGAAUUCAAAAUGGAAGGCCUAGAUUUCAUGCAAUUUGCAUUGCAGUUCCACGGGCUCAGAUUUCUACAUAGAUAUUUUUAUGUUAGCUUGUAGGUAAAAUCAUAUGUUCUCCAAAUUUAAAUUUUUUUAGGUCCAUUUAUUUGGAAAAAUAAAAUAAAUCUAACACGCACAAAAUUAAUUUUAAAAAGUUAAAACAUACAAAAAAAAAACACAAAAAAGAAUUAUCACAAACAAAUCGCAUAUGCAUAUUUGAAUUUACAUUGUUUUCCAUUGGAGCAAAAAACGUAUUUACACCCCCUGGAGGUGUAAAGGGGAUGUAAAAGUGGCUGCUCUAAGGGUAAACUUUGAAAACAAAAGAUAAGUUGCCUCAUACAUUAAUUCUCAGAUUGGGUGAAAUAAUAUUUUCAUUGAUAUUUUAAUGUACAACAAUAGGAAGAAUAUAUAUACAGAGCAUAGGAAACUAUUCUAGGAAUAUAAUUAUGAGCCUAUAAUCUUGUAGAAUCAAAUAGUUGACUUAGACUAAUUAGGAAUGUACAGCUCAUUUGACACUCCCCUUUAAGUUGGAGCAUGUAUGUCGUCAAUGCUUAACUUGCUAAGUGAGUUGUGAAAUACUUUGCAUGUGACUGCUUUGGUGAAGAUAUCUGCAAGUUGAUCUUCGGAUUUAGCAAAUGGUACCUCAAUGAUCUUUGCCUCGAGUUUCUCCUUGAUGAAAUAUAUGUCAAUUUCAACAUGCUUGGUUCUAUCAUGUUGCAUUGGAUUAUGUGCUAUGUCUAUUGCGGUUUUGUUGUCAUAAUUGAGUUGCAUGACAUGUUUGGGUUUGAACCUCAAUUCUCCCAACAAAUUCCUUAUCCAGAGUAGCUCACAUACUCCAUGUGCCAUACCUCGAUAUUCUGCUUCAGUACUUGAUAUUGACACCUCUUUCUAUUUUUUACUUCGCCAAGAGACUAGAUUGCCUCUCACAAAGGUAAAGUAUCAAGAAGUAAAUCAUUUGUCAUUUAACAAAACUCGCCCAGUCUGCAUUAGUGCGACCCUCAACAUCUCGAUGGCUAUGUUGUGAGAAUAUAAAUUCUCUUCCAGGAGCUGACUUCAAGUAUCUCAGAAUUCAGUUUACAGCAUCCAUAUAGGCUUCACUUGGUGCAUGCAUAAACUAACUCACCAUACUUAUGACAUAUGUUAUAUCAGGUAUAGUGUGUCCUAGAUAGAUUAAUUUACCCAUAAGGCAUUGAUAUCUUUCUUUGUUGGUGGGUACCUGAUUAGGAUAUUCACCAAGCUGUUGAUUCAACUCUAUUGGAGUAUCCGCUGGUUUACUGGCUAACAUUCCAGUGUCAGUCAAAAUGUCAAGGAUAUAUUUCCGUUGUGAUAAAAAUAUUUCUUGUUCUGAACGAGCCACUUCAAUGCCUAAGAAAUACUUCAGAGCACCAAGAUCUUUCAUUUCAAACUCACUUGCCAAGUGGCGUUGUAAUGCUGUCUUUUCCUCUAGGUCAUUCCUGGUAAUUACCAUGUCAUCAACAUAUACAAUAAGAGCAGUGACUUUACCUUUCUUAUGUUUCAAAAAAAGAGUAGAUAUGAGUUACUUUGCUUGUAUCUGAAAUUCUUUAUUGAUUUGCUGAACCUUCCAAACCAUGCUCUGAGUGAUUGCUUCAAUCCAUAAAGAGACUUUCUCAGUUUACACACCAUGUUGCCCAUAUUGGACCCCAUCUUGCAUCCUGGAAGGGAAUCCAUAUAGACUUCUUAUUCUAGGUCACUAUGUAGGAAUUAUUUUUUAGCAUUUAACUUGUAUAAUGGCCAGUCCAGGUUUGCUGCUAAAGAAAGAAGUACCCAAAUUGUGUUGAUUUUGGCUACAGGGGCAAAGGUCUUCCUAUAGUCAAUCCCAUAAGUAUGAGUGUAACCCUUCGCCACUAGUGUAUCAUUCAAUGAUGUCAUCUGCCUUGAACUUUACCAUAUGUAUCCAUCUACAGCCUAUUGUUAUCUUCCCUUUAGGAAUGAUAGUCAUCUCCCAAGUCGAAUUCUUCUGGAGGGUUUCUAUUUAAUCAUUCAUUGCUUGAAUCCACUUGGGAUCUUUCAGAUCUUCAUGCACAUUACUUGGAAUAGAUACAGUAGAUAAUUGACAUACAGAUGACGCACAUGAUGGAGGCAGCCUAUGUAAAGACACAUGAUUAGCAAUAGGGUAUUAACUUUUACUUUAGGAUUAGGGGCAUAUUAUUUUCUAGGGACCCUUCUAGUUGUAUGGGGGGUGGUGGGUUUAACUGAUAACCUGUGUUUCCUGUAUGACUCGACUCAGGUAAAGUGUUUGAGUUGGAGUUUGAAUGUUCAGUUACUUGUGGAGAAUCUUCAGGACCUGGUUGGAUGAGUGGUGAUGGUACUGUAGUAGGAGUUGUAGGGGGAAAGUAUCUGAACCAUUAUCUGGAGUCUCCAGCCCUUGCGACUCUUGAUCUUGUUGCACUACUGUAGUUGGCAGCUUGAACAUUGGUUUUCUAAAAUAAUUUGUUGAAUUUGGAUGAUUUGAUUAUGAGUAUCUUAUGUAAAAAUAUAGCUCUCCCCCUGCACAGGAUGCUCAGAAACUUCUCAUGACUAACAUAACUCACUCUUGUGGAAAGUCACAUAUGUUGUAACGUACAAUGUCUGAGUGUGAGGAUGAAAACACUUAUAGCCCUUUUGAGUGUCAACAUACCCCACAAAGACACAAUGUAGUGUGCACAGAUCAAGCUUGCCACGCUGAUGUGGAUAUACUCGAACAUAAACAACACAACCAAAGAAAUGUGGUUUGAGAUUUGGUGUGGACGGUAUGGCGAAGAGAGUGGUCAAUGUCUGAAAUGGAGUUUGAUACUGAAGAGUGCUGGAUGAUGUUCUAUUUAUGAGGUAAGCAGCAGAACAAAGAGCCUUUUCCUAAAAAUAAUGGGGCAUACGAGCCUCAAAUAAAAGCGCAUGAACAACUUCCAAAAGAUGACGAUUCUUACGCUCUGCGACACCUUUCUGUUGUAGUGUAUAGACACAUGUGGUUUGAUGAACAAUACUAUGUUGGCUUAAAAAAAUUAUGUAAGUCAUGGUUGACAUACUCUCCUCCAUUGUUAGACUGAAUUGUUGUGAUUUUCUUGUCAAACUGAGUAGCAAUAUAUUGAUGAAAUUUCUUGAAUUUUGCAAUGACUUCACUUUUAUGCUUUAGGAGAAAAACCCAGAUCAUCUGGGUGCAAUCAUCAAUAAACGUCACAAGCCACUUAAAACCACUAAUAGUGGGGACUCUGGAUGGUCUCCGAACAUCAGAGUGGACAAUCAUGAAAGGCAUAGAACUUUUAUUCAAUCUUAAUAGGUAAGAAAUAUGAUGGAUUUUCGCCAAAAUGCAAGUUUCACAAUGAAAUUAUGAUUCAGCAAACUGGGAAAAUAAAUAUAGAAAUAAAAGUUUCAGAUAACCAAACGAAGCAUGCCCUAAUUGUCUAUGCCAUAGUCACAUUUUCUUCAUCCUCAUGGACUCGUCUCCUCGCACAUGAUGUGCAUGACUUGAUGCCAUAGAGAAUAAUUAUUCUCAUCCAAUUUGAUUCCUAUCGAAGUUGGAGGUGUCACUCUACAAAGUAACGAUUUGUGUGGUAGUGUUGGAGCCUCUCGACACCAAGGAUUGAUUGGUGUUUGCUGAUCCAUCAUCGUUGGCCAUGAUAUUGGUUUGUAAGUGAUGAGAAAAAAGACAAAAAAAAAAACAAACAAACGUUGGGCUGAGGGGAAAAGCAAAGAGAAUGGUGGAAAGUGAUUUGCAAAGGACGAGAAUAAAACAAAAAAGUGAUUUGACAUUGAAUUGGUUUGUGAGAUGGAAUAUGGGCUGGUGCUGGGUUUUUAUACUUGUUGAAUGAUGUGAACAAUGAUAUGAAUGUUUGGAGAGAAGGUUAGUGUUGGGUUUGUAUGACGGUUGCUGCUGCGGAAGUGAUUGUUAGGGUUAGGCCAAGCGACAGUCAUGAUCAACUGCUCUUAUACCAUCUUAGAUUGGGUGAAAUAAUAUUUCAUUGAUAUUCUAAUAUACAACAAUAGGCAGAAUAUAUUACAUACCCUAGGAAACUAUUAUAGGAAUGCAAUUAUGAGCUUAUAAUCUUGGAGAAUCAAAUAAUUGACUUAGACGAAUUAGGAAUGUACAAUUCAUUUGACAUUAAUUAGAUUGUUUUAAGUGUAACAAAAGUGACACAUGUCAUUAGAAAAAUAGAGAUGGUUAGAAAGAAGAUUGCUAGCAUUACCCAACGAGAGAUUACCUCUUCAUGAAACAUUAGAAACGAGCCCACGCAACCGGAGCUAAGCCCAAGUGACAGCCCACGCAAAGACGAAAUCCUAUAGUGCAACAUCUCUUCAUAAAACGGUACCAUAGGAACUUGAACUGAUAGCCAUUUAGGAGCACAUCAAAUACCCGAGCUAAUUCAACUAACAUCCCAUUAGUUUUUUUUAGCGGAGCUUUGCUCAAUGAUUUCCUGUUAAGUUGAAAUUUUUUAUAAACAGGGUGAUAAAGAGAGUUUUGCGAAUUUAAUUUAAUAAUAUAUUAAGUAGGCCGUAAUUUGAAGCGCACAAUCAGAAGCCGACACGGGUAAGUUGUAAGUUGUAGGGUCCAAGUGGCCUUUUAAUAAUUCGUUUUAAGAACUCAGAGCAAGAAUAUACUUCCAUAACUGUAGACUCUUUAAAUCCCCACAGGUUCAGAGAAAGACAAUACCAAAAGAUGACUUCUUUGGGAGGCCUAGUAAUCAUUGUUUCAAGCUUUCUGUGUCUGCUCCUUGUCUUAGUUCUCAUCAAGAUCCUUUACAAGCUAUGGUUAGCUCCGGCUCGCUUGCAGAAGCUGAUGGCCUUGCAGGGCAUCAAAGGCCCUCCUUACAGACUUAUCCAUGGCAACACCAAGGACAUCUCCAACAUGAUCAAGGAAGCCAUGAGCAAGCCUAAGAGUUUGAGUUCGUCCCACGACAUACUUUCUGUAGUUCAACCUCACGUUCACUCAUGGACCAAGAUAUAUGGUAACAAACAAAACGGUCUUAAUUACUUAAACUAUUGUUUUGAAAUCUGAGUUCCAAGUUAAAUUUUGGUCAUAUUUAUUUAUCAACAGGGAAGAACUAUCUUCAGUGGCAUGGUUCUGAGGCUCAAUUGGUCAUCACGGAGCCUGAGUUAUGCAAAGAGAUACUGAAUAACAAAGACAAAGCUUAUCCCAAAAGAGUGCCCGAAAGCUUUGUGAAGAAGCUCUUAGGAGAUGGACUUGUGACAACAGCAGAAGGUGAAAAAUGGGCAAAAAUGCGAAGGCUCGCUACCCACGCCUUCCAUGGAGAGAGCUUAAAAGUAAGUUUUUAGAGUUUCUGGUAAUUCCUUAGAAUCAAUUAAUUGAAGACUAAGUUUGCUAAUUGACUGCAUGAUGGUGUUGUUUUGCUAGAGUAUGAUUCCAGCAAUGGUAGCCAGUGCAGAGACAAUGCUAGAGAGGUGGAAAAAUUAUGAAGGGAAAGAGAUUGAGGUGUUUGAAGAGUUUAGGUUUUUCACUUCAGAAGUGAUUUCUAGAACAGCAUUUGGCAGCAGCUAUAUAGAAGGACAACACAUUUUUGAGAUGUUGAUGAAAUUAGGCUUCCUGUUAACCAAAAAUUCUUUCACAAUAAGGGUUCCUGGCAUCAGGUAAACUUCCUUACAACUAAAUCUGAAUGUGGGGAUAGCCAUAUAAUCUCUUUUUUGUUUAUAUUUGCAUUGAUUGGCUGAUUUAUUGAUCAACGAGGCUUGUUAUGCAGAGAACCAAUCUUCUCUAUUAUCUUUGUAUUGUUCUCAUGUGUGUUCUUUCAUUCAAUGUUGCAGUAAGCUUUUCAAAACUGGCGACGAGAUCGAAUCAGAGAAACUUGAAAAAGAUGUACGUGCCUCCAUAUUAGAGAUUGUCAGGAAAAGAGAAGAGAAGGUGAUGACUGGAGGAGAAGACAGCUUUGGGAGUGACUUUCUUGGAUUACUUGUGAAGGCUCAUCAUGAUGCCAAUGACAGCCAGAGGAUUUCAGUGGAUGAUUUAAUUGAUGAUUGCAAGACGUUUUACGUCGCUGGACAAGAAACUACUAAUUCUUUGCUUGCUUGGACUGUCUUUCUUUUGGCACACCACACGGAUUGGCAAGAGGAAACAAGAAAAGAGGUCAUACAAAUGUUUGGCAAACAAACUCCAAACCCUGAUGGCAUUGCCAAACUGAAAACAGUAAGAAAGUCAAGAACUCAAUCAUUAGCUUGUUCUAAGUGGCAGAAACAUGUACUCAAUUAAGAUUCAAAACCUGAUUUGUUUUUGUUUUUGUUUUUUUUGUUUCGUUUGGAUGCAGAUGAGUAUGGUGAUCAAUGAGUGUCUAAGGUUAUAUUCCCCUGUUGGUACUCUGUUAAGGAAAGCUGAAAGGGAAGUUAAACUAGGAAAGCUGACUGUUCCUGCUAAUGUUGAGUUGGUAAUGUCAUGCCUAUCACUUCACCAUGAUCCUCUAAUCUGGGGACAAGACGCGCAAAUUUUCAAACCAGAGCGAUUCGCAGAAGGGGUUGCUAAAGCGAGUAACAAUAACGCAGGCGCUUUCCUACCCUUCGGAGUAGGACCUCGAACUUGUGUGGGAUUGAACUUUGCGACCAUUGAAGCAAAGAUUGCGCUGUCGAUGGUUCUACAACGCUACUCCUUCACCCUCUCCCCGGGCUAUGUCCACUUGCCCUUUCAGCUAGUAACAAAUCGCCCCCUCCGUGGAGUUCAAGUAAUGCUACAUUCACUUUGAUAAGUAUCCAGAACACAGACAUCAUGCAGUCAUGAAGUGAGUUGAUAAACUCGCUGUAUUAUUAGUCAAUUAUCAUUUCAACUUUUCCUAGCUACUGUUGCCUCAUGUUUGGCAGUAUUAUGAGUUGAAAAUACAGUAAUUUAUUUCUUUUUGUUUGGUUUGGGAGAAAGAAUCUUAUUAGAUCUUAAAGCAUCCAUCCAGAAAAAGGUAAUAUCUUAGAAUAUGCCAAUAUUAUAGACGUCUGAUGAUGGACAAUAUAAUAUAAUAUAAUAUGAAAGUGAUCAUUUAACUGCUGCAAUAGAAAUACUUAAGAAACUGAUCAUGGGACAUUUUCAGUUUCAGUGCAUCAUCCAUAACAAAUUAAGAAAUGACAGAAACCUUAACCACAACAUGUAAUCGCAAUUAAUCCAAAACCGAAGAUCAUUCGGGUAACGUAAUUUCAUUAACAUAAAAUAGGGACAACAAUUGAUGAAGGAAGAUUAACAAAAAGCAAGGAUAUAGAACACUACUACUCUGUAUUCAUUAACAUAAUUAUUAUAAUAUCCCUUUCUCCAGGUUAAGUCGAGCAUUUUCCAACACAAGAGAAGAUCAUUUGAUAAUAGAAUAGAAUGCCGUUUUUAGAGAGAGUGUCAAAUUGUUAAGCAUACGCUUUGUCGUUGGAACUGGAUAUGAGCCCAUAUGCUAUCUUUUUAAACGCGAAGCCUAACAUGAAGCCCAAUUUGGCAAUACAGGGAUGGCCUUUAGGUCCAUGUGUGUGACCAUUGUGAAUUUGUGAUGUGAAUUUUAAAAAAUGAAGAAAAAAAUACAUGUCAUUGUCUAGGAAUUCAAAUCCUCUUUUGCUUCUCUGUCUAUACAGUUCAGUCUCCCAUUUGGCAUAGUCUAAAUUGAACUCUAUCUCUAUGCGUGUGCGUCAGCGCCAUUAUUUAUUUGAUACUCAAGGAAGUUUAAGGUUUUACUUUAUGUGUGUUGAACUUUUAAGCUUAAUACGUAAACAACAUAAAUUAGGUUAUUUAUUUGAUAUUCGAGGAAGCUUAAGGUUCCACUUUACGUGUGGCGAACUUUCAAACUUAAUAUGUAAAUAACACAAAUUAAGUGACGUGAGAGCACAUUUGACCGUUUGGCCCAACAUUUUCAUAGGGUUCAUCUUUAUUUGUAUCAUGUGAUGCCUAGGUCAUAAUAUGUUUCACAAAGGAGCCGCUUUUUCUGGUCUUUGGAAAUUCACAAAAGCCACUUAUUACAAUCUUAUCCAUCCAAGACAGCUAAUCACAGAAAGUGGUGGACAUAAUUUGCCAUGCCUGCCAGUGCCAGCUGCUAGUAAGAAACAGAUGAUUAUGAACUGUCUUAUCUCUCUCUAUCUAUAUAUAGAAAGUUGUAAAGAUGAGAGGUUGUUCACUGCUACUUUCCAAAGCAGAAUUUCCAUAGGGAAGCUAUAGUCUCUCUGUUAAGCUGAGAAAAGUCAUGAAAGAGAACGACGUGUGGUGAUAAAGAGAAAGUUUUGCAAGAUUAGUAAUAAGGUAAUGUCAUUGGUGACGAAGCCGGGAGAUAAUUCCAACAUGAAGUCACUAACCAUGAUGUAUCAAAAGUCGACAAAUGGCAGCUUAAGGUUUCAAGGAGAGUCACUUUACCAUGAUAUUCAUAUUUGCCAUCUGGAUUUUAGUAAAUAGCAGGACGGCUAAGUAACAAUCAAAAGCUAACACAACCAUGAUUUAAAACUGGUUUUUUCUUUACUUUUGCUAAACAAUCAGGAGCAAGAAAAGUUUUAAAAACUCAAUCUUUUUUUUUUGGUCAAGACCUUUAAAAACUCAGUAGAGAAAAAGAAAGAGAUAGAGAUAGAGAUAAGAUAGGCAAAGAGAAAACAAUACCAAAAAAAAUGACUAGUUUGGGAGGCCUAAUAGUCAUUCUUUCUAGCUUUCUGUGUCUGCUCCUUGUCUUAGCUUUCAUCAAGAUCCUUCACAAACUAUGGUGGACUCCGAUUCGCAUACAGAAGCUGAUGGCUUUGCAGGGGAUCAAAGGCCCUUCUUACAGAUUCAUCCAUGGAAACACCAAAGAAAUCUCCAACAUGAAAAAGGAAGUCAUGGGCAGGCCCCAACUUUUAUCACACGACAUACUUUCUGUAGUUCAACCUCACAUUCACUCGUGGACCAAGAUUUAUGGUAACAAACAAAAACAAGCCAUCUCAAUUAGUUAACUAUUGUUAUUUAAAUCUUAGUUCUAAACAAGAUAAGUUUUGGUAAUUUUUGCAUGCAAUUACAGGGAAGAAUUAUCUUCAAUGGCAUGGUUGUCGGGCUCAGUUGGUCAUUACAGAACCUGAGUUGUGCAAAGAGAUACUGAAUAACAAAGACAGAGCUUAUCAGAAAAGAGAGCCCACAAACAUUGCAAAGAAGCUAUUGGGAGAUGGCCUUGUGGUGACAACCGAAGCUGAAAAAUGGGCAAAACUGCGAAAGCUGGCCACCCAUGCCUUCCAUGGAGAGAGUUUAAAAGUAAGUUUUUUAAAGUUACUGAUACUUUGUUGCAAAGAGUAUUAUAGUAAUAGCUGUGUCAACUAUCUAAACACGAAAAUAAUAAAUUGAAGGGAAAAGUCUGCUAAUAGCAUGUUGGUAUUAUUGUUUUACUAGAGCAUGAUUCCAGAAAUGGUAGCUAGUGCCGAAUCGAUGCUAGAAAGGUGGACAGUUUAUGAAGGAAAAGAGAUUGAGGUGUAUGAAGAGUUUAGAUUGUUCACAUCGGAAGUGAUUUCCAGAACAGCAUUUGGCAGCAGCUAUGUAGAGGGACAAGACAUUUUUGAGAUAUUGAUGAAGUUAGGCUUCCUAAUAUUUAAAAAUUUUCUCAAAGUCAGGGUUCCUGGAAUCAGGUAACUUUUAAUACUCCAAUUGAAGAGAAGAAAAUUAUUUUGGAGAGUUACUUAUGUUCUCAUUUUUAGUCUUUCAUUUAAUGUUGCAGCAAGUUUUUCAAAACCAGCGAUGAGAUUGAAUCAGAAAAACUUGAGAAAGGAAUUCAUGCCUCCAUAAUAGAGAUGGUUAAGAAAAGAGAAAAGAAGACAAUGGGUGGAGAAAAGGACAGCUUUGGGAGUGAUUUUCUCGGAUUACUUUUGAAGGCUAAUCAUGAAGCCAAUGAGAACCAGAGGAUUUCGGUGCAGGAGAUAAUUGAUGAGUGCAAGACGUUUUACUUUGCCGGACAAGAAACCACUAAUACUUUGCUUGCUUGGACUGUCUUUCUUCUGGCACUCCAUACGGAUUGGCAAGAGGAAGCAAGAAAGGAGGUGCUACAAUUAUUUGGCAAACAAACUCCAAAUCUUGAUGGCAUUGGCAAACUGAAAACAGUAAGAAACUUGUCUAGGUGGUAGAAACAUGUUCUCAAUAAAGUUUGAGAUCCUGAUUCGGUUAUCUAUUUUUCAUUUUGAUGCAGAUGAGUAUGAUCAUCAAUGAGGCUCUAAGGUUAUACCCCCCUGCUGUUUCGGUUAUAAGGAACGUCGAAAGGGAAGUAAGACUAGGAAAGCUGAUUGUUCCUAGUAAUCUUGAUGUGGUUGUCUCAAUCGUAGCAGUUCACCAUGAUCCUCAAAUUUGGGGACAAGACGUGCAACUUUUCAAACCAGAGAGAUUCUCAGAAGGAGUUGCUAAAGCAACUAACAACAACAUAGGCGCAUUCUUACCCUUUUCAAUGGGACCUCGAACUUGCGUGGGCUUGAACUUUGCGAUCACUGAAGCAAAGAUUGCUCUGUCAAUGAUUCUACAACGCUAUGCCUUCACCCUUUCCCCGGGUUAUGUCCACUUGCCCUUACAUUAUCUUACAGUUCGGCCACAACAUGGAGUUCAGGUAAUGCUGCAUUCACUUUGAAGUUGUACUGCCCAAGUAGACAUAAGUCCAUGUUGUGCCUUGCACUUUGAGACAAGACGAGCUUAUUUGUCAACUGUCCCUUCAAUUCUAAUUAAGAAGAAAAGGAUGUUAUUGAAGUCAAUGCAUUUCCCAACAACAAUUGUACAAUAAACAAAGCUUGAACUUCAUGGAAGCAUGAAUUUGAUUGAAAAGGAUGGUUUCUCAAGACAUUGAAAUUUAAUGAGAAUAAUUGAUAGCUGUGAUAGCCUAUGUUAACCUUCUUAUUGACUGUUGCAUCAGCUUUUGUUAACCUUCUUAUCACACAGUCAGGAUUCCUGGCAUCAGGUAACUUUCUUUUAACUAAAUCUCAACUUGGGAAUCACAUGGAUACCCAUUUUUAUAUGUGUUCAUUCCACUUGAAGAGAAGAAGUAUCCAUCUAACUUGGGCGGGUCUGACCCAAAAAAAUAGCCAUUUUGGAAUCUCCAAGGUCAGGGACGAGAUUUUGGGGUGGCGAGCACUGCUAUGAGAGAGAGAGAGAGAGAGAGAGAUGAGGAUGAGAGGAGGAGAGGUCGCGGGUUAUUUAUAUGUUGAUGGAAAAAACAAAAGGAGAGAUGGGCUUUCAAUCGGGCCUGGGCUUAAAACUCUAAUAAAACCAAAUGCCCUAUUUUGAUGGGGAUUAGACCUUAGAAAAUACAACAUUAAAUGGAUUUUGUAUUAUGAAAUCACUAAAGCAAUCACUAAUAAAUAACAAAAAACAAAUAAAUAUUAUACUAUUUGUUUAAUAAAUAUGUAUUAUGGUUGUAUUUUAUAAUUUAUAUAUCGUUUUAUUAUGCAUAAUUUUGGUAUAAAUUAAGAGUAGUGAUUUUCCCACUCAAAUUUUAUCUACUUACACUCUUUUUUAAUAAUUUAUAAAAUUAAAUAAUAAAUAAAUAAAAGAAAUAGGCCUUGAUUACUCCCCUAGUGCUAGGUUUUUUUCUUCAUAUACAAGUUGGUGUGUUUUCAGAUAAGGUCAAAAUUGACAGUAGUAUUUUAUUAUACCACCCAAUUUAUUAUUACAGUAAAGUAGCGUUUGGUAGUGCUUAAAUUUUAAAAAAAGCGACUUUAAUAAAAAUUUUGCAACAUUAUGGCGUUUGGUAAACAUCAAGAAGAAGCUUUAAAAAAAAACAUUACAUAUAUUAUAUGGGGUUUGGUAAAAUUUCAUGUGAUUCAGUAAACAGAAUAUAAACUCCAUCAUUGCUAACUUUUCGUUUUGAUAUUCUAUACAAAAUUGCGUAAGUCUAAGUAGAAUUUAUCAAUUCCAUUCCAUCUGAAAUUUAGGUUUUAGCAACAAAAAACUUUCACUUUUGAAAAAAGCCAAAGUUUUUUUUAAAAAGACAGAAAAACUUAUCAAUUUUCAAAACAAAAACAUGCAAAUGUAAAGAAUUCCUUAGGAAAUCAAAAAAUAAAUACGGACAAUUUUGUCCAUUUUGAUUUCUUUCAAAAAAUUUCUCUUUCCUUUUGCCUUUUCCAAAGCCUCUCUAAAAAAAAAUUGCAGCUGUUUUUUUGAAAGCAGCAAUAACCCAGCUCUUAAAAGCUGCUUUAAAAAAAAUUUAACAGGUGGUUUUAAUGAAAUUUUGACUUUUCCAUAAUGCCCUCACUUAUUUUUCAAAUAGACAGUCCUUAUCCCUCCAAUACACAUCGAACGACGCAGACUCCUCUUCCUCCUCUGUUCUGCAAACUCCUCUUCUUCUUCAUUCUGUUCAUUCGCAACCCUCGCUCUUUCUGUUCGUUCUAACUCACAUCCCUUUUUCUAUUCGUCGUCUGCAACAAACCCCACCCAAGCGCCAACCACAACCACAACCUCAACCUCCGACCAUGGGCUGUAGAUGACGACGAUUACAGACGAGAACCGAUGGCAGACGACCACCGACGGCAGACAACGAGACUCCACAACAUGGACUAUAGACGACGAUGACGACUGUGCAAGGAGGACGACUUCUCUGGGCAGAGGGAGAAAAAUAGAACAAGGAGAAGAAGGAGUAGAGUAGAGAAUUUUUGAAAAAAAAAAUGUGAUGAGAGAGGAGAAGAAGAAGCAGGCGGUAGGAAGAAAGAGAAGAAGAUGAUGAAAAAGGAGGAGCGGCAGAAAGAGAUGCAGAGAUCUGGAAAGAAAAAAGGGGUUCCCCAAAAAAAAAAGAAAAAGGAGAUGCAGAGAGAGACGAAAAAGUUUGACCCAAAAAAAGUGUGAAUUAAAAAAAAGAGAAAAAUUAUGUAGCGUAAAGUUGUUGUUAAAAAAAAAAAAAAAAGAGUAGAAAAAGAACUAAGAAAACAACAAAUAAUUUCAUCAUGAUUCAUGUUUUUUUUUUUUGGUCAUUGUACACACCGAAAACACUUUUGAUAAAAAAUUACCAAACAUUUUGAUUACUGUUGUAAAUUAUAAGGUGGAGCCCACAUGUUGGAAGGCUUUGCCUACAAAAGGGUUCACACCCUUCCUUUGUAAAUACACAGAUGAGAAGAGAAAACAUUCAAUGAAAGUUCAGUUUCUAUACUUUCUCUCUAUCCCAAUUCUCUCUACAAUUUCCUCUAGAUUUAUAACACGUUAUCAGCACGAAUUCGCUUUCAAAUAUACCAACUGAAAUCUCUGAUGAAACCCAGAUUCUUUCCCCUACGUUCCUCCCUCUCUUGCCAUUUCUUCAGCUUUCCUUGUAUGUCUCCGUGUUAGAGAGACAGAGGGAGAUAAUAGAAAAUUGAAGCAGAGCAAUAAGCCACCAAGUCUCUGUCUUCCAUCAACUAUUGGCAGCUGAGACCAAAUCUCUCUCUCUCUCUCUCUCUCUCUCUCUCUCUCUCGUUUCAGAGAACAGAAACAAGACCAAGACACAAAACACACACAGAGAGCCAGCCAUGGACUCAGACGAAGGUAAGCUGUUCAUAGGAGGGCUGGCCUGGGACACCACAGAGGACAAGCUCACCGACUACUUCAACCAGUACGGUGACGUCACCCAAACCGUCAUCAUGCGCGACAAGACCACUGGCCGGCCCAGGGGCUUCGGCUUCGUUGUCUUCUCUGAUCCCUCCGUGCUCGAUAGGGUCCUCAACGAUAAGCACACCAUUAAUGGCCAAGGACGUUGAAGUUGCAGAGAGAGAGAGUUCAAUGUUCUGCUUCAUUCCAUGGCUCUUAACCUCUGUUGAAUGGAUGUCUUGGUGGGCCCCGCCUUCUUCAUCGGGGAUGGCCGCGGCCGUCUCUUCGUGAAGCAGAACGUGGAGGCGCUGCCGAGGUCCGAAGAGGCUUCCUCGGACAGCUCGUCCUUGAUCGGGGCUCCCGACGACAGCGAAGAAGACGAUUCCAAAGGAGAUGAUGGCGACGGCGACGAGGAGGAGGUGCAGAGCAAGUUUAACGGAGCUGGCCCCUGUUUCCCAUAGCACCUUGGCGCCGAGGAAGUCGUCUUCGAUGGUCUGGUUUCGGUCGAGCUUUGAGGAGGAGGACCCAAGUGAACUGCUCGGCGUUUUUUUUUGCCUCGAACUCAACCCGGUGACUCAGAGAGAGAGAUGGUAACAGCUCAACACGUCUUUGAUUUUGUGCAUGCCUCAAAUGGGUUUUCGUGGAUCAGUCCAAUGUAUGGAGGACUGGUAUUUCGUGGUCCAUCUUCUUCGUUUUAGCCAUUGGCGUGCCGCUUGUCUCACACUUUCUCCUCUCCUGCUCCGACUGCGAUGAAAAUCACAGCAGGCCUUACCAUAUAGUUUCUCAGUUAUCACUUUCUUUAUUCUCAGUGCUCAACAAAAGGAACAUCACGUGAGCUAGCACUAAGCCGCUAUAAUUGAGUAUGGGCACGCAAGAGGCUUCGAGAGCAGCACCAUAUCAGAAAGUGCUAAAGCCUGUUUUUGAGAACAGCAAACCCACCGAAAGAAAGAAAAAUAAAUAAAUUAAAAAAAAAAUAAUCCAAUAAGCUCUAUGCCCUUUAUGCUUUCUAUUACUUUAUUAUUUCUCUACAGUAUUUAAUAAACAAAUUGGUGCAGGUACAGUGGUAGCAGUGGAAAAAGGAGGGGCAUGGAUUCGCCUGGAACAUGCGUGAUAUUCCACUAAUAUAUCAGUAUAAUAAUAUUAUACUAUUUGAUCGUGGUGUUGAUAAGAACCCACCAAUAAUUGCCUUUACUUUAUAGCAAAUUUACUUUUACUUAAAGUAUGAUGUGGAAUUAACCCUCAUACUUUAUGAAAUUACUUUACUGCACAUUAUUUACUGUAUGGUGUAGGUUUAUUACCCAUACAACAGUAUCUAUUUAAAAGGGUGGUGCGGGUUUAUCGUCCACGCCUUUACUUUUAUUUAAAUGUAUGGAGCAGAAUUAGUGCCCAUACAAGCACGUUUACUUUAUCGCAAAUUUACUUUUACUUAAAGUAUGAUGUGGAAUUGACCCUCAUACUUUAUGAAAUUUACUUUAUGAAUUUACUUUAUCGCACAUUUAUUUAAAAGGGUGGUGCGGGUUUAUCGUCCACGCCUUUACUUUUAUUUAAAUGUAUGGAGCAGAAUUAAUGCCCAUACAAGCACCUUUACUUUAUGAAUUUAAUUUACCGCACAUUUACAUUUAUUUAAAGUGUGGUGCGGGUUUAUCGUCCAUACCAGUAAUUUAUUUACCAGCAAUUUAUUUUAUAGAUUAAUUGUGCUGUAUGAUGAGUUUUUACAGUAUGCAGAUCAGGACCAGAAGUUCCUUGAUCCUCAUCAUACAAUUACAUCAGGACUUGAAGAUCCUUGAUGAUGAUAAUAUGAGAGCUGGCAGUCUCUCCAGUACUGUAUUUGUAAACAUGUGAUUGGACUUGAGGGUCCUUGAUCCUUGACAUGUAAAUAAGGACCUGGGGUUCCUUAAUGAUGUAACAGUACCGUAUUGGUUCAUAAUGCCGUACACAUGGAUGAUAACUGUACUGGCAAAUGUACUGUACACAUGAAUAGAUACGUAUUCAUGACUUGAUGAAUAGUACUGGAUAUAUGAAUAGUGACGUAUACAUACAUAUUCACCAUUUUGGGUAAACCAUCACUAUUCAAAAAGGAACCUGUAGUUCCUUAAACUCAUGGAUGAGCAAUUAAAUGAGAUGCCAGAAGUCCCUCAAAAUAUGGACAAUUAUGUAAGGGCUUGAAGUCCAGAAAUAUGUACAGAAAAUUGUAAAAAUGUCCAUACCAUGAGAAUAUGUGAUUUUGGCCCGAAGUUCAAAAUCUAAGGGGAUUGAAUGUCCAUACCAUGAGAAUAUGUGAUUUUGGCCUGAAGUUCAAAAUCUAACAGUGUUGAGAACCUAAAGUUCCAACAGUUAAAUGGACAACCCUUGAGGUAUUAUUGCAAAUUGUGGUACACCACAUAUUUCUUUGGCAUAAGAAAAUGAUGAAUUUAAUAAAGUUCGAUUAUGUUGUAAUCAACAUCUCAAGGAAGAAAUAUAUUUUGUGAAUCCUGGUUGUUAAGAAUACACCGUGAAAUGGAUAAUAUCAAUAUAAACCUCAAAUGAUGAAUUGAGGCUCCCCACAUAUUUUGUUAUAUCUGGGCCGGAAGCACAUGGAUUCAAAUAUAUGAGAGAUCCUGAACUUGAAGUUGUGGGUAUAUAGUGGCUUUUACUCAAUUCAUAUUUCAUGUCCAUUUGGAAAGGGCAAAUAAAUUCUGAGUUUGUGUUUAGCCCAGGCCAAAGGUUCCGGGCUCCCAUACGUUGAAAUAUGAAAUUUGAGAGAGUCGAUGUGGUUAUUUGAACCUAUAAGGCACAAGGUUCCAAACCGUCAUUUUGAAAAGACGUAAAAACCACAGGUGCAAGUUUAAGAAUGUGCGCAAUUAUUAUAACAGGAACAUACAACAGAUAGAUUUUUUCCACCUGCAAUGAAGGUGCAGGCCCUGUAAAAUCUAUAAAAUUACAUUAUGUUCUGGAAGCCUCUGAAGGAAGAGGACGACGCCUCUUAAGCUUAGCCAUGAGCCUCUCGUGAUCUCCCAAAAUUCUUUCAUUAGAGACCUGCAGCAUGUCUAGCCUUCUCAGUGUAUCAACAGAGUACGAACUCACCAGUUUCAACAAGGCAUUAUUCUCUCCUUUAAGUUUCGCAACCUCCUGUUGAGACUCAUGAAGCAUUCUUUGGAGAGACGAAUUUUCAGUUGUUAACCUCUCAACCUCGUUUGCUCUGGCACGCAAACGAUCAGCCAUGUUAGAAACAGAAGCAGCACUCUGAAUGCUAAAAGCCAUUGAGUCAUCAAUAGCUUCUUCCUCAGAUCUCCCUGUCAACAACAUUUCAUCCAUUGGAAUAAUGAAAUUCCUAGCUACUAUGACAGCAGUAGCAUCAUUCAUCAUCACAGAAUCAUUAACUGUGAGAUGACGAUUUUGGGAUACAAAGAAUGGACGCCAAACUUUGGCAUCAUUGGUAGUUGUGGGAGCAUCAUUUAAAUUGAAAUAAUUUGGGCAGGAAGAAGAGGAAGCCAUUUUAAGAAGGUUUAGAAGAAAGUCUUAGAAAAACUAAAGUUUCAGAAAAUGAAGGAAGUUGAGUUGAAACGCAGUUGCUCCAAUCAAGUUUUGCAAAGGCAAUACCUAUAGGAGGAAAUAUGGCUACAGUUUCCAGGAUCCCAAUAUUAUCUCAGAUCCCCAUAUUCUCUUUUUCUUUUCCAGAUUCCAAAACUUCACGCGGCCUCCAUUAAUGUUUGUCGGCACUUUCGGCGUUUUCAAGUAUUAUUUUCGUCAAAGCCGAUCUUGCUUUACGGAUUUCACGGAGCUACUUUUUCAAAAGUAUCCCGAGAAUCUCGUAAUUUUCCUAUGGUUAAUUUGAAAUUCACCGGUUCUACCUAUUCAUUGUAUUUGUGUAUAAAUGUGUUACUAACGAAAUUUUCUUUGCAGAAGACAUCUAGUUUACUCCAUACCUAGUGAUGCGAUAUCUACUUAUUUUUCUUAUCAGUGAGCACUCAAUAUGCCCGAGAAGCAAGACUAUCUCUGAUCAUCCAUUCAGGAAGCAAGACUAUCCCUGAUCACGUUUCCGCUACAUCAGGAAACUGUGAAGGCGAUCUUAUGCUCUAAUCUCCGGAAGUCCUGCUAGACUAGGAGAUAUGAGAGCUUAUUGUCUGCUCCCACCAGCUUCCUUCUUUGAUUGCUUACCUUCUCUUGCAAUCAAUAUCACAUUAUUUUUGCAUUUUUUCUCUUUUUAUAACUCUCUGUUCAUAAGAGAUUUUAUUUCUUUAGAAUGAACAUCUGAAGAAAGAAUCCAUGAAGUGAUCCUAACUCUGAGGGUUAUUUGUUUUUGACAGAGAAAAUAGUUGUGAUUUUGCUCUUGCAGGAUAUAACUAGAUCAUCAAGCGCUACAUUAUAUUUACUGGGCUGAUACGAGCUUGAAUGAUACUUGAGAAAAGUUUCUCCCACCUAAGGAUGUAAGCAAUACUUGUGUUAUUUUAUGCUUAUAUACUUAUUUGAUAUUUUAUCUUGAAAGGUAACCAAAUGGGGAGAUAAGUCUGUUCCAAAAGAAUGGCUUGUAUGUAUUCAUGAAUUAUUAAUGCAAAUUUUACAGAUUGCAAGUUGGAUACAUUGAUAAUACACUGCACAGAUUAAAGUCCCAUAAGAACAGAAUAUGGGUAUAGCAGUGAUCAAUAUGAUGCACGCCUGUUGCGUAGCAAAUGAUGUGGAUUCAAGUCCCGAAAGGACAAUCCUUUGACAUGUCAAUAUUGAUAUUGUGCACGCCUAAUGCGUAGCAAAUUGUAUGGGUUAAAGUCCCAGAAAUUAAUUGACAUGUAUGUAUUAAUCUGUGGCAUGCCUGCAGCAUGACAGAUAUAUGGGUUCUAAAUGUUCCAACUCCCUAAAUAGAGAUUAUCCACGCCCUACUGUAAAAUAACGCUCCAUUGGAGGUUAUAAGCCACAUUCUCACAUAAUAAAAGCCCCAUGAAGUGGCUUGGGUACCCAAAAGCAAAGAAAUGCUUAUAAUUGAUGCAUGCACGUGCAAAUGAGAAUGAUGGGAUCAUGAAUUGAUGAAUGACAAUUUUUGGUUUUGGAGUAGCUACUCAAAUCAUCAAUGGGUUGUGUUGAUUGGAACCACGUUCAAUUAUUAAAUGUCGACAAUACCAUUGGCCAAAAUGGAAUGAGGUAAUUCCAUUAUAGAUGAGAAUGAACGUGAAAGAACAAACCCACAGUACGAACCCCAAAAGAUGUUAAUACUGAAAUUUAUACUUGGGUGUUCGGAAUAAAAGGGAAUAUACCUACUUUGUAUGACACAAUGUUUCUGGCAGAAACAAGGAAUGUUGGGUUUUCUCCAUAUUUACAAAUUCAAUUGUGCCUCCUUAUUGCACAUUUACGGAGACCAACAUGUUAUCUUUAAGGGCUAUUAAAUGCACAGAGCAUAUCACCAGUAGUGAUUCCCUAAAGAUGUAUAAAUAGCUGGGUUAAAGCUAUAUAAUGUAUCAUAAAGUUUAAUCCCCUUAAACAAAAUCCUUGAAAGGAUUGAAAUUGCAUGAAGCAAGUCCCUGAAGGACAUGUGCCUGAAGCACAAAAUCUGUACUCAAUACUAAUGUGUAUAAAUUGCCUCAGUGAGUACAUUGAUUAUAAUAUGUUUGCAACGUAUUGAAACUCUUGAAGAGUUCAAGAAAUAUUUGUCUCAACUUAAAGAUCGAGCAUUAUGCCAACGAGAUUCUUGCUUAUACUAAGAAAGUAUUGAAGCAUUUUUAUGAGGAUUAUCCGUUGGGCACUCUAAGGAUUUUCCGGAAGUAUAUUGGACCGGACAUUGUAUUUUCCAGAUAGAGCUCAACUUCAUCACCAUCAUUUUGGGAUGAUGUGAGGCAUAUUUGAUGUUAUCUCAGCAUAACACCAUAUACGGGCAUAUUUUUUUUGAGUGAACUUACAAAUAGCCCAAGUGUUAUUAAGAUAUGCGGACUCUAGAAAUCUCUAUGGUCGCUUACUGGAAAAAGCUAGUCAUGAAGUUUUCAGGGGGAGAUAUUCAUCAGGGGGAGCGUGGUAUUAAUAAAGACCUUCAUACACUGUACUCUUUUUCCUUCAUCCAGGUUUUUAUCCCACUGGGUUUUUCCUGGUAAGGUUUUAACGAGACAGUGUCGCUCAAGAUUGACUCACAGAAGCAGUGUCAACUACGAUAUUCAGAAAGGUGAUCAACAGUAUGACUUAAAGAUAUUUUGCCAAGCAUCAGGGGGAGCGUGCUGUCAAGAAAGACCUUUACACAUUGUACUCUUUUUCCUUCGUCCAGGUUUUUAUCCCACUGGGUUUUUCCUGGCAAGGUUUUAAUGAGGCAGUGUCGCACGCGUGUCAAUAUACACAGAAUUUUAUGUUACACAUGGUUAUGUACUCUUUUUCCCUUCAACCAUUUUUUUUUAUUUUUUUUGUCCCACUGGGUUUUUACUGGCAAGGUUUUUAACGAGACAUAUUCCGUAUCAUUUGUGGUCUACAAGGGGGAGUGUUGUAAAUUAUAAGGUAGAGCCCACAUGUUGGAAGGCUUUGCCUACAAAAGGGUUCACACCCUUCCUUUAUAAAUACACAGAUGAGAAGAGAAAACAUUCAAUGAAAGUUCAGUUUCUAUACUUUCUCUCUAUCCCAAUUCUCUCUACAAUUUCCUCUAGAUUUAUAACAAUUACUUAUAAUAUUUUUUUAAAAUAUAAUUUACAAAACACCUAAAUGAUUUUUUCACAAUUGAUUAUUCUUGCAGCACAAUAGAAGCUAUUGAUUUUAAAGCAUAGCAACGACCAACUAGCACUAACAGAGCAACAAUUUAAAUAGUCAACUGAGGGAGCUGAAUAUUGAUCUGGUUCAGAAAUCUAGCAAAAGAGAAAAACUAUACUAAAAAAAAAUGGAUUCCUCUGGAGAAGUAGCAAUCAUUCUUUCAAGCUCUGUGUGUCUGUUCCUCUUUUUAGUUCUCAUCAAGAUCUUUCACAAGCUAUGGUGGAAACCAACAAGCAUACAGAGGCUGAUGGCUUUGCAGGGCAUCAAAGGCCCUGCUUACAGACUUGUCCAUGGAAACACCAAAGAAAUCUUCAACAUGCAAAAUGAAGCCAUGGGCAAGCCCAAAGGUUUAUCACAUGACAUAUUUUCCAGAGUUCAACCUCAUUUUCACUCCUGGACCAAGUUAUAUGGUAAAGAAACUCCUCAUUGACUAUGGUUUUUGAGUCUCUGUUCUGAAAUAACUUUUGUCAUCUUUUGCAACAGGGAAGAAUUUUCUUCAAUGGUAUGGUCUUCGACCUCAAUUGAUCAUCACGGAACCUGAGUUGUGCAAGGAGAUACUGAAUGACAAAGAUAGAGCUUAUCCGAAAAGCAAGCCCAAAAGCUUUGUGAAGCAGCUACUGGGAGAUGGACUUGUGACAACAACCAACAUUGAAAAAUGGGGAAAAUUGAGAAAGGUGGCCAACUUUGCUUUCCAUGGAGAGAGCUUAAAAGUAAGUUCUUACAGUUGUUUAUGAAUGGCAGAAAAAUAAGAAAGGCAUAAAUUGAAAGUAAAUUUGUUAAUGGCAUGAUGGUAGAGUAUGACUCCGGCAACGAUAGCUAGUGCUGAGAUUAUGCUUGAAAGGUGGAAAAAUCAAGAUGGCAAAGAGAUUGAGAUGUUUGAAGAAUUUCGGUUGCUCACCUCAGAAGUGAUUUCCAGGACAGCAUUUGGCAGCAGCUACUUAGAAGGGGAGAAGAUUUUUGAGAUGCUGAUGAAGUUAUCCUUCUUAUCUUUCAAAAACAUUUUGAAACUCAGGAUUCCUGGUAUCAGGUGAAUUCUUUUUUCUUUUUCUUUUUUUCAUUUUCCCCAUCUGCUGCACAUCAAAGAACUAUUCCACAAACGAAUUCUUGGAUUAUUAGUUUAGUUCUCAUGUUUAGUCUUUCAUUGAAUAUUACAGUAAGUUUUAUAAAACAUGCGAUGAGAUCGAAUCAGAGAAUCUUGAGAAAGGAAUAUAUAACUCCAUAAUAGAGAUUGUUAAGAAAAGAGGAAAGAAGGCAAUGGCUGGAGAAGAAGAUGGCUUUGGGAGUGAUUUUCUUGGAUUACUUUUGAAGGCUCAUCAUGAUGCCAAUGACAACCAGAGGAUUUCUGUAGAUGAUUUAGUUGAUGAGUGCAAGACAUUUUACUUGGCCGGACAAGAAACUUCUAGUAGUUUGCUUGCUUGGACAGUCUUUCUUUUGGCAAUCCAUACGGAUUGGCAAGAGGAAGCAAGAAAGGAGGUCCUAGAAAUAUUUGGAAAACAAAAUCCGAAUACGGAUGGCAUUGCCAGACUAAAAACAGUAAGAAAGUCCAGUACUCAAUCAAUCGCUUCUUCAAGUGGCAUAAAUGUUCUUCAUUAACUAUGAAAUACUGAUUUCUUUUCAAAUAUUCAUUUUCAUGCAGAUGACUAUGAUCAUCAAUGAGACUCUGAGGUUAUAUCCGCCUAUUGUUGUCCUUGAGAGGGAAGCUGAAAGGGAAGUUAGGCUGGGAAACCUCAUUAUCCCUGCUACUGUUGAACUCGUCAUUCCAUGUUUAGCAUUUCACCAUGAGCCUGGAUUCUGGGGACAAGACGUGCAUCUUUUCAAACCGGAGAGAUUCUCUGAAGGGGUUGCUAAAGCUACUAAGAAUAACAUAGCCACAUUCUUACCAUUUGGUAUGGGACCACGAAAUUGUGUGGGUUUGAACUUUGCAACCAAUGAAGUAAAGAUUGUUCUGUCAAUGAUUUUACAACGCUACUCUUUCACCCUCUCCCCGGCCUAUGUCCACUCUCCCUUUCGGCUUCUUACAGUUCGCCCUCAACAUGGACUUCAAAUAAUGCUACACUCACUGUGAACUGAAAGAACCAGAAUUGCCCAUAAUCUUGGACUUGGUGUAUGGAUUAGCUAAUGCCCUUGGACAUGGUUAGCUUGUUAUUUUAAAAGAUUGUAAUGUCUGCUGUGAAGUUUGUAAAAAUUUAACCUCCUGUUCUGCUGCUUUGCUGCAUGUUUCUGGUAGAAUUUCCAUUGAUGAAAUAAAACGUUUUGGGAAGCCAAAGAGCAUCUCUAACCCCAGGCAGCACAUUAGCAUGAACUGUACUAAUGCAUAUACCCCAAAAUAUGAAAAUAAUAAGGUUCAUGGGAACCUACAUAUAUACAUUAUUCUGAUGGCUGAUGUGUACAAAAAUGAAAAAGUAUAAGGGAGUUUUCUUCAAACUUGGGAAGAGCCAAAGAAAUUGCACAUUGCACAUGCCAAGAAAAUAAGGGUACUUAGAAACGGACUACAGAGGUAAUGAAGAGAGCAGUGAUGGUUAAAUUUGGUGGAUUAACACCAAAGAAAUCUCCAACAUGACAAAGGAAUUGUUAAAGAGGGCGGCACAAAGUUUAGUAUAGUCCAGUUAGUCACAAAUUUUAAUAAUGUUGCAGCGUCAUUGGUUGUUAGCAAAGCAAGCACAUAAUCCACAAUGAAGCCAUAUAAUAUUGCAGGGUCAUCUUGUUAGGGACAAAACUGGCAUCUUCUUUGUGUCAUAAUCUUAUACCACAUGCAUCCCAAUGAAGUAAUAAAUCCAUACGUAUCCCAAUUGGAAAUCAGUAGGUUCAGAGAUACAGCCAAAGAGAAAAAUAGCCAGGAAAAUGAGUUGGUUCAGAGAUCCAGUAAUCACUCUUUCAAGAUUUCUGCUUUUGUUCCUUCUCUUAGUUCUCAUCAAGAUCUUUCACAAACUAUGGUGGACUCCGAUUCGCAUCCAGCAUAUGUUGGCUUUGCAGGGAAUCAAGGGCCCUUCUUACAGACUUAUCCACGGAAGCACCAAAGAAAUCAUGAGCAUGAAAAAGGAAACAAUGGGAAGGCCCAUGAAUUUAUCACAUGAUAUAUUACCUGAAGUUCAACCUCAUAUUCAUUCAUGGACCAAGAUAUAUGGUAAUAAUAAACUCUUACCUAACUUGGCUUUUAAAUCUUAGUUCCGAGAAAUAAUCUGACUUUUUUUUUUCUCCAACAGGGAAGAAUUUUCUGCAGUGGUAUGGUUCUCAAGCUCAAUUAGUUAUUGGGGAACCUGAAUUGUGCAAAGAGAUACUGAAUAACAAACAUAGAGCUUAUUCAAAAAAGGGGGCCUCAAGCCUAUGUAAAGAAACUAUUAGGAGAUGGCCUUGCAUCAAGGGAAGGUGAAAAAUGGGGAAAAUUGCGAAAGCUGGCCAACCAUGCCUUCCAUGGAGAUAGCUUAAAAGUAAGUUGUGCAGACUUACAGUUACUGCCAAGUCUUGCAAAUUUUCAAACUGUAUGAUAUGGCAUUGUUGUUUGUUUUUACUGGAGUAUUGAUUCCAACAAUGACAGCUAGUGUUGAGACGAUGUUAGUAAGGUGGAAAAAACAUGAAGGCAAAGAGAUUGAGGUGUUUGAAGAAUUUAGAUUGUUGACUUCAGAAGUGGUUUCCAGGACAGCAUUUGGCAGCAGCUACUUAGAAGGGAAGAACCUUUUUGAGAUGUUGAUGAAGUUAUACUUCUUGAUAUUCAAAAAUUUGUUCAAAUUCAGGUUUCCUGGCAUCAGGUAACUUCAUUUUGUUGAAUUUCUCUAUGACUUAUCAAUUUUAAUGAUGUUCUGUUCUCAUUUCACAUGUUCAUAUCUUUCAUUCUAUGUUGCAGUAAGCUUAUUAAAACCAAAGGAUGAGGUCGAAUCAAAGAAGCUAGAGAAAGGAAUACGUGAGGGCAUAAUAGAGAUUGUCAAGAAACGAGAAGAGAAGGCGAUAAUGAUUGGAGAAACAGACAGCUUUGGGAGUGAUUUUCUUAAAGGCUCAUCAUGAUUCCAAUGAGAAGCAGAGGAUUUCGGUGGAUGAUUUGGUUGACAAAUGCAAGACAUUUUAUUUUGCUGGCUUGGGCUGUCUUUCUCCUGGCACUCCAUACAGAUUGGCAAGAGGAGGCAAGAAAGGGGAUCCUGCAAAUAUUUGGCAAACAAACUCCAAACUCUGAUGGCCUUGCCAAACUAAAAACAGUAAGAAUGUCACACAGUCAAUUGCUUGUCCAAGUGACAAAAAAAUGUUCAACUAAUAUGUAUAAAAUCCGGAUUUGUUCUCUAUUUUUCCUUUUGAUGCAUGCAAAUUGCAAUGCAGAUUGGUAUGAUCAUCAAUGAGUCUCUAUGGUUGUAUCCUCCUAUUGUUUCCAUUGCAAGGAAAGUUGAAAGGGAAGUUAGACUAGGAAAGCUCAUAGUUCCUGCUAAUGUUGAAAUAUUCAUCCCAAGUCUAGCAAUUCACCAUGAGCCUCAACUCUGGGGAGAAGAUGCGCACCUUUUCAAAUGGGAGCGAUUCUCUGAAGGGAUUGCUAAAGCCACAAAGAACAAAAUAGCUGCAUUCUUACCCUUUGGAAUGGGUCCAAAAGUUACUGGUUAUUCAACUGAUUUUGAGGGCUUAUUGGAGGAUUGUCAGAUCUGGAAACCUACUUCUAAUGGUUAUUCUCUGUCAAGUCCGCUUACAGCUUGCAUUUUUAGGGGGUAGAUUGGCUAAAUCCUUGGUAGAGAGUUCUAUGGAAGCUUCGAAUCCCUCCUAAAUUCCAAAUUUUCUUUUGGUUGGUUUUUCAAGAGAAAAUUCUCUCCAAUGAGCAGCGAAUUCGAAGACAUCUUACUGGAAAUUGUGCCUGCGAUUAUUGUAAGUGGCCUAUUGAAUCUACUUUGCAUAUCUUAAGAGAUUGUUCUAGAGCUAGAAAGGUUUGGGAUCUCUUUAUGAAUUCUACGCAAGCUUCGCCUUUUUUCCAAAUUGAUUUUCAUCCUUGGUUGUUAAACAAUUUGUGCUCAAAGGCUCACUUUGUUCAGAUUCCAUGGAGAAUUAUGUUUGUUUUUAUAUGUUGGUAUAUUUGGAAAUGGAGAAAUGACUUUAUUUUUAAAGAUGAAACUGAUUUGCCUUUUAACCCAGAGAUUUGAUUUGUACUGCUGCAAAGGAUUGGUUUCAGGCCAUUAUUAAUACUAAUAGUGGAGCUAAUAAGGUGCAAGUGUUGUUGGCUUGGGUCCCUCCUGAAAUUGGUUUGGUCAAGUUAAAUAUAGAUGGGUCUUGCAGGGGCAGUACUGGUGCCAUUGGUGCUGGAGGGGUCCUAAGAGAUCAUUUGGGUCAAUGGAUUGGUGGCUUUGCUGUCAAUUUAGGUCAGGGAGAAGUGCUUGAAGCUGAGUUGUGGGGUCUGUUUUUUGGAUUGAAUUUGGCUAUUGAGAAAAAAUUACAUGAUAUUGUUAUUGAGAUGGAUUCUGAUACUACUGUGCUUCUUAUUUAGAGUAAGGUUUUGAAUGAUUGUCAUCCUCAUGCUGGGUUGGUCAGCAGCUGUAAAAGGCUAAUGAAUCUGUUUUGAAGGAUCAAGCUUCAACAUAUCUAUAGAGAGAGGAAUGAUGUAGUUGAUGGGUUAGCUACUUGGAGUCACAAUCAGGACCUGGGCUGUUACUAUUUUGAGGAGAGUCUUGCCUGGCUUGGUUGUUUAUUGCUAAAUGAUUCUCUGGGAGCUGUUAAGGCUCGUCUGAUUAGUAGUAAUUAGUUGUUGUGUUGGUGUUUAGGGGUUUUCCCCCCUUUUCUUCAUUAAAAAAAAAAAGAAAAAAAAAAGCAAAAGGCAGAGAAUGAUGAAACAUUCAAAAUACCAGAAAAUACCCUUGGUUAAUUCAAACAUUAAGAAUUGAAAUUAUUAAUUAAAUGAGGAUAAUAUGGUAAAUUCACAUUUUUUUUAUAUUUAAAAAAUUAAAAUUAAAAACAAAAUCAGAUAAUAGGUCAUACUUUUAUGGAACAUAACUAUCCAUAUUUUAUUUUAUUAAUUCUUAAAUAAAAAAAACAAAAAAAAAACCAAUUCGCAUGUGCCAAGAAGCUAGUAUGUAUUAUGGUAGUAUUUUAUAAUUUAUACAUCGUUUUAUUUUGCAUAAUUUUAGUAUAAAUUAAUAAUUUAUAAGACUAAAUAAAAAAUAAAUAAAAGAAAUAGGCCUUACUUCCUCCUCUAGUGGUAGGCCCUGCCUACUGCCUAGCGAUUUUUCUUUAUAUACAAGUUGUUGUCUUUUUAGAUUGGGUCAAAAUUGACAGUCGUAUCUUAUACUACCCAAUUUAUUAUUACAGUAACAGAGCAAGACAAUUUAAAUAGUCAACUGAGGGAGCUGAAUAUUGAUCUGGUUCAGAAAUCUAGCAAAAGAGAAAAAAUAUACUAAAAAAAAAAUGGAUUCCUCUGGAGAAGUAGCAAUCAUUCUUUCAAGCUCUGUGUGUCUGUUCCUCUUUUUAGCUCUCAUCAAGAUCUUUCACAAGCUAUGGUGGAAACCAACAAGCAUACAGAGGCUGAUGGCUUUGCAGGGCAUCAAGGGCCCUGCUUACAGACUUGUCCAUGGAAACACCAAAGAAAUCUUCAACAUGCAAAAUGAAGCCAUGGGCAAGCCCAGAGGUUUAUCACAUGACAUAUUUUCCAGAGUUCAACCUCAUUUUCACUCCUGGACCAAGUUAUAUGGUAAAGAAACUCCUCAUUGACUAUGGUUUAUGGGUCUUUGUUCUGAAAUAACUUUGGUCGUCUUUUGCAACAGGGAAGAAUUUUCUUCAAUGGUAUGGUCUUCGACCUCAAUUGAUCAUCACGGAACCUGAGUUGUGCAAGGAGAUACUGAAUGACAAAGAUAGAGCUUAUACGAAAAGCAAGCCCAAAAGCUUUGUGAAGCAGCUACUGGGAGAUGGACUCGUGACAACAACCAACAUUGAAAAAUGGGGAAAAUUGAGAAAGGUGGCCAACUAUGCUUUCCAUGGAGAGAGCUUAAAAGUAAGUUCUUACAGUUGUUUAUGAAUGGCAGAAAAAUAAGAAAGGCAUAAAUUGAAAGUAAAUUUGUUAAUGGCAUGAUGGUAGAGUAUGACUCCGGCAACGAUAGCUAGUGCUGAGAUUAUGCUUGAAAGGUGGAAAAAUCAAGAUGGCAAAGAGAUUGAGAUGUUUGAAGAAUUUCGGUUGCUCACCUCAGAAGUGAUUUCCAGGACAGCAUUUGGCAGCAGCUACUUAGAAGGGGAGAAGAUUUUUGAGAUGCUGAUGAAGUUAUCAUUCUUAUCUUUCAAAAACAUUUUGAAACUCAGGAUUCCUGGUAUCAGGUGAAUUCUUUUUUCUUUUUCUUUUUUUCAUUUUCCCCAUCUGCUGCACAUCAAAGAACAAUUCCACAAACGAAUUCUUGGAUUAUUAGUUUAGUUCUCAUGUUUAGUCUUUCAUUGAAUAUUACAGUAAGUUUUAUAAAACAUGCGAUGAGAUCGAAUCAGAGAAUCUUGAGAAAGGAGUAUAUAACUCCAUAAUAGAGAUUGUUAAGAAAAGAGAAAAGAAGGCAAUGGCUGGAGAAGAAGAUGGCUUUGGGAGUGAUUUUCUUGGAUUACUUUUGAAGGCUUAUCAUGAUGCCAAUGACAACCAGAGGAUUUCUGUAGAUGAUUUAGUUGAUGAGUGCAAGACAUUUUACUUUGGCGGACAAGAAACUUCUAAUAGUUUGCUUGCUUGGACUGUCUUUCUUUUGGCAAUCCAUACGGAUUGGCAAGAGGAAGCAAGAAAGGAGGUCCUAGAAAUAUUUGGAAAACAAAAUCCGAAUACGGAUGGCAUUGCUAGACUAAAAACAGUAAGAAAGUCCAGUACUUAUUCAAUCGCUUCUUCAAGUGGCAUAAAUGUUCUUCAUUAACUAUGAAAUACUGAUUUCUUUUCAAAUAUUCAUUUUCAUGCAGAUGACUAUGAUCAUCAAUGAGACUCUGAGGUUAUAUCCGCCUGUUGUUGCCCUUGAGAGGGAAGCUGAAAGGGAAGUUAGGCUGGGAAACCUCAUUAUCCCUGCUGCUGUUGAACUUGUCAUUCCAUGUUUAGCAUUUCACCAUGAGCCUGGAUUCUGGGGACAAGACGUGCAUCUUUUCAAACCGGAGAGAUUCUCUGAAGGGGUUGCUAAAGCUACUAAGAAUAACAUAGCCACAUUCUUACCAUUUGGUAUGGGACCACGAAAUUGUGUGGGUUUGAACUUUGCAACCAAUGAAGUAAAGAUUGUUCUGUCAAUGAUUUUACAACGCUACUCUUUCACCCUCUCCCCGGCCUAUGUCCACUCUCCCUUUCGGCUUCUUACAGUUCGCCCUCAACAUGGACUUCAAAUAAUGCUACACUCACUGUGAACUGAAAGAACCAGAAUUGCCCAUAAUCUUGGACUUGGUGUAUGGAUUAGCUAAUGCCCUUGGACAUGGUUAGCUUGUUAUUUUAAAAGAUUGUAAUGUCUGCUGUGAAGUUUGUAAAAAUUUAACCUCCUGUUCUGCUGCUUUGCUGCAUGUUUCUGGUAGAAUUUCCAUUGAUGAAAUAAAACGUUUUGGGAAGCCAAAGAGCAUCUCUAACCCCAGGCAGCACAUUAGCAUGAACUGUACUAAUGCAUAUACCCCAAAAUAUGAAAAUAAUAAGGUUCAUGGGAACCUACAUAUAUACAUUAUUCUGAUGGCUGAUGUGUACAAAAAUGAAAAAGUAUAAGGGAGUUUUCUUCAAACUUGGGAAGAGCCAAAGAAAUUGCACAUUGCACAUGCCAAGAAAAUAAGGGUACUUAGAAACGGACUACAGAGGUAAUGAAGAGAGCAGUGAUGGUUAAAUUUGGUGGAUUAACACCAAAGAAAUCUCCAACAUGACAAAGGAAUUGUUAAAGAGGGCGGCACAAAGUUUAGUAUAGUCCAGUUAGUCACAAAUUUUAAUAAUGUUGCAGCGUCAUUGGUUGUUAGCAAAGCAAGCACAUAAUCCACAAUGAAGCCAUAUAAUAUUGCAGGGUCAUCUUGUUAGGGACAAAACUGGCAUCUUCUUUGUGUCAUAAUCUUAUACCACAUGCAUCCCAAUGAAGUAAUAAAUCCAUACGUAUCCCAAUUGGAAAUCAGUAGGUUCAGAGAUACAGCCAAAGAGAAAAAUAGCCAGGAAAAUGAGUUGGUUCAGAGAUCCAGUAAUCACUCUUUCAAGAUUUCUGCUUUUGUUCCUUCUCUUAGUUCUCAUCAAGAUCUUUCACAAACUAUGGUGGACUCCGAUUCGCAUCCAGCAUAUGUUGGCUUUGCAGGGAAUCAAGGGCCCUUCUUACAGACUUAUCCACGGAAGCACCAAAGAAAUCAUGAGCAUGAAAAAGGAAACAAUGGGAAGGCCCAUGAAUUUAUCACAUGAUAUAUUACCUGAAGUUCAACCUCAUAUUCAUUCAUGGACCAAGAUAUAUGGUAAUAAUAAACUCUUACCUAACUUGGCUUUUAAAUCUUAGUUCCGAGAAAUAAUCUGACUUUUUUUUUUCUCCAACAGGGAAGAAUUUUCUGCAGUGGUAUGGUUCUCAAGCUCAAUUAGUUAUUGGGGAACCUGAAUUGUGCAAAGAGAUACUGAAUAACAAACAUAGAGCUUAUUCAAAAAAGGGGGCCUCAAGCCUAUGUAAAGAAACUAUUAGGAGAUGGCCUUGCAUCAAGGGAAGGUGAAAAAUGGGGAAAAUUGCGAAAGCUGGCCAACCAUGCCUUCCAUGGAGAUAGCUUAAAAGUAAGUUGUGCAGACUUACAGUUACUGCCAAGUCUUGCAAAUUUUCAAACUGUAUGAUAUGGCAUUGUUGUUUGUUUUUACUGGAGUAUUGAUUCCAACAAUGACAGCUAGUGUUGAGACGAUGUUAGUAAGGUGGAAAAAACAUGAAGGCAAAGAGAUUGAGGUGUUUGAAGAAUUUAGAUUGUUGACUUCAGAAGUGGUUUCCAGGACAGCAUUUGGCAGCAGCUACUUAGAAGGGAAGAACCUUUUUGAGAUGUUGAUGAAGUUAUACUUCUUGAUAUUCAAAAAUUUGUUCAAAUUCAGGUUUCCUGGCAUCAGGUAACUUCAUUUUGUUGAAUUUCUCUAUGACUUAUCAAUUUUAAUGAUGUUCUGUUCUCACUUCACAUGUUCAUAUCGUUCAUUCUAUGUUGCAGUAAGCUUAUUAAAACCAAUGAUGAGGUCGAAUCAAAGAGGCUAGAGAAAGGAAUACGUGAGGGCAUAAUAGAGAUUGUCAAGAAACGAGAAGAGAAGGCGAUAAUGAUUGGAGAAACAGACAGCUUUGGGAGUGAUUUUCUUGGAUUACUUUUAAAGGCUCAUCAUGAUUCCAAUGAGAAGAAGAGGAUUUCGGUGGAUGAUUUGAUUGACGAAUGCAAGACAUUUUAUUUUGCUGGCCAAGAAACCACUAAUACUUUGCUGGCUUGGACUGUCUUUCUCCUGGCACUCCAUACAGAUUGGCAAGAGGAAGCAAGAAAGGAAAUCCUGCAAAUAUUUGGCAAACAAACUCCAAACUCUGAUGGCCUUGCCAAACUAAAAACAGUAAGAAUGUCACACAGUCAAUUGUUUGUCCAAGUGACAAAAAAAAGUUCAACUAAUAUGUAUAAAAUCCUGAUUUGUUCUCUAUUUUUCCUUUUGAUGCAUGCAAAUUGCAAUGCAGAUGAGUAUGAUCAUCAAUGAGUCUCUAAGGUUGUAUCCUCCUAUUGUUUCCAUUGCAAGGAAAGUUGAAAGGGAAGUUAGACUAGGAAAGCUCAUAGUUCCUGCUAAUGUUGAAAUAUUCAUCCCAAGUCUAGCAAUUCACCAUGAGCCUCAACUCUGGGGAGAAGACGUGCACCUUUUCAAACCGGAGCGAUUCUCCGAAGGGAUUGCUAAAGCCACAGAGAAGAGAAUAGCUGCAUUCUUACCCUUUGGAAUGGGACCUCGAAAUUGCGUUGGGUUGGACUAUGCAACCACUGAAGCAAAGAUUGUUUUGUCAAUGAUUCUACAACGCUACUCCUUCACCCUUUCCCCUGCUUAUGUCCACUCUCCUUUGCAGUACAUUACAGUUCGCCCACAACACGGAGCUCAAGUAAUUCUACACUCACUGUGACUUGUGUGUGACCGAUAUAAACCGACCAUGAAACAAAAUGGGCAAGAGUUUUGUAGCUUAAGUGGUUAAGAGUAUUUGUUCAUGCAUCCGAGGUCCUAUAUUUGAUUCUCCCUUCCUCAAUAUCACUUAUAUAAAAAAUAAAAAAAAGUAUAACACAAUGGUAGGUCUUAAUUAAUACAAUGAAAGAGAGUUUAAUAGCAUCUUUGAUAGCGACUAUAUUUGAUUUCUAUUUAACGUUGCUAUCAAUCACACAUCUACAUUUCUUGUGUGGUCACGCUUUCCACCUAAAGUGUGCAAUAAUUACGCAAGUUUCAACAACCAAGUGUUUAAUAAACCUUAGUCAACACAGAAGGUAGCUAUCAGAGCUGCUGUCCUGUCCCACUAUUUAUUAUGAUUCUCCUAACAUGGAUACAUUCGUACUCGUACGUGAGCUGAGAUUCCAAUAUAUCUAUAUAUAUAUAUAUAUAUACGUCAUGUUUUUAAUGCGCCGACAAUGCUAGCUUUAGGUUUUUCAACAAGUCACCGUGAUCAAUGACGCCAUAUGAUAUGUAUAAACAUAUAUACAAUAUUCCCUGCCUUUCAUUGUCUAUUAGAAGCUAAGAGACGCAUUUUUGAGGUCAACGAUGGCAACGUGUUUCCAAAGUAAUAUUUAUUAUCAACAUAGAGCAAGAGACUUGUUAAGAGCUAGAAGCUUGUUAAAGAACACAAGAAGAAGAAAACUAAGAAACAGAGGAGAGCUACAGCCAAGGAGGAGAUCAAGAGAGAACAAUUAGAAAAAAUGAGUUGGUGCAGAGAGCCGGUGAUCCUUCUCUCAAGCUUUCUGUGUCUGUCGCUGUUGCUAGCUCUCGUCAAGAUGUUUGAAAAGCUAUGGUGGAAGCCGGUUCGCAUACAGAAGUUGAUGGCUCUGCAGGGGAUCAAAGGCCCUUCUUACAGACUUAUCCAUGGAAACACCAAAGAAAUCUCCAAUAUGAAAAAGGAAGCUAUGAGCAGGCCCAAGAGCUUAUCACAUGAUAUCUUUCCUCAAGUUCAACCUCAUAUUCAGUUAUGGACCAAGUUAUAUGGUAAAGAAAGAAACUCUUCUUCCUUCACCUAUGGUUUAUUUUUUCUGUUUUCUUUUUGAAUCUUAAUUAGCUGCAAAAUAAACUUUGGUAAUCUUUGGAAACAGGGAAGAAUUAUCUUCAAUGGCAUGGCUCUAAAGCUCAGCUGGUCAUUACGGAACCUGAAAUAUGCAAAGAGAUACUGAAUAACAAAGACGGGGCUCUUCAAAAAACAGAGACUCUAGGAUAUGUGAAGAAGUUAUUAGGAGAUGGCCUCACGAGAUCCUCAGGUGAAAAAUGGUCCAAGUUGCGAAAGCUGGCCAACCAUGCCUUCCAUGGAGAGAGCUUAAAAGUAACUUCCUAAAGUUAUUGUUGGUGAUUCUUUCUUCCAACAGCAUUUUUCUAAAAGUGAAACAGAAUAAGUAAAAUUUUCCGACUGUGUUGAUCAGAGUAUGAUUCCAGCGAUGAUAGCUAGCGGCGAGACGAUGCUUGAAAGGUUGAAGAACCAUGAAGGCAAAGAGAUUGAAGUGUAUGACGAAUUCAGGUUCUUCACUUCAGAAGUGAUUUCCAGAACAGCAUUUGGCAGCAGCUACUUGGAAGGGAAGAACAUCUUUGAGAUGUUGAUGAAGUUAUCCUUCUUGACAUUCAAAAAUGCUCUCAAACUUAGGUUUCCUGGUAUCAGGUAACUCAGGCUUGUUAUGCAUCAAACUCAGUUUUCUUCUAAGCUUGCAGAGAAUAUUGAUCACAUCAAUGUUCUUUCAUUCAAUGUUGCAGUAAGAUCUUUAAAACCAGAGAUGAAAUCGAAUCAGCAGAGCUUGAGACAGGAAUACGCGAUAGCGUAAUGGAGGUCAUUAAGAAAAGAGAAAAGAAGGCAAUGGCUGGAGAGGAAGACGGUUUUGGAAGUGAUUUUCUUGGAUUGCUUUUAAAGGCUCACCAUGACACCAAUGAGAAGCAGAGGAUUUCAGUGGACGAUUUGGUCGACGAGUGCAAGACUUUUUACUUUGCUGGACAAGAAACCACUAAUUCUCUGCUUGCUUGGACUGUAUUUCUUCUGGCCCUCCAUAGAGAUUGGCAAGAGGAAGCAAGAAAGGAGGUCCUGCAACUAUUUGGCAAACAAACUCCACACCCUGAGGGCAUUUCCAAGCUCAAAACAGUAAGAAAAUAUAUUAGUGAAUUAAUUGUUUGCUUUUAAGCUUGAAAUGCUGAUUUGUUGUCUAAUUUUGACUUGGAUGCAUGCAAUGCAGAUGAGUAUGAUUAUCAAUGAGUCUCUGAGAUUAUACUCUCCUGUUAUUUCCUUCGAAAGGAAAGCCGCGAGGGAAGUUAGACUGAGAAAUCUCAUAGUCCCUGCUAAUGUUGAACUGCAAAUCCCAAACCUAGCAUUUCAUCAUGAUGCUAAAUUUUGGGGAGCAGACGUGCACCUUUUCAAACCAGAGCGAUUCUCAGAAGGGGUUGCUAAAGCUACCAAGGAUAACAUGGUCGCAUUCUUGCCCUUUGGAAUGGGACCUCGAACUUGUGUGGGCUUCAAUUUUGCAACCAUUGAAGUAAAGAUUGCUCUGUCAAUGAUUCUACAACACUACUCCUUCACCCUUUCCCCAGCCUACGUUCACUCCCCGUUUCAUUUUCUUACAGUUAGGCCACAACAUGGUGUUCGAGUAACGCUACAUCCGCUGUGAGCUGUGUAAACCAUGUGGAGGUGUAAUGGUCAAAACCUGAAUAGAAUUUCGUAUAAUUUUGCACUUGGUUUACCAAGGCAUUAUUAAUGUCUUUGUUGAUAUAUAUCAGGGAGUUUAUUUUGUUUUGAGUACAGAAACAGAAGUGAACAUUUAUCAAUUUAUUGGCAGUAAGUACCAGAAAUCCACGGGAAAUGGUUUUUCACAACAGAGCAGACUAUAGUGGAAGUUUAAUCAUAGCCCAAAAACAUGCAUUACGGAAGGCCCAAAUCUGAUACACGAAAAGGCCCAUUUUCAAAACUUGGGCCUCCUUUGGUUGGCAAUUAGGAACCCCUUUUCAAAAAUUGGGAUUGAAUCUGAACAUUUGAAUUGGAAACUUGGAAACUUGGAAACUUGGAAACUUGAAAACUUGUUUGGUAUUAAAAAUUGGAAACCUGUAUUCUCAGGCAUUUGCUCGAACAUGUUGUCUGCAUAAAACAACAAAUCCAUCCACUAAUUUCAAAAGCUUCCAAAAUCAGAUUGAAAAGUGGAAGAAUUAAAAGGAAAUUCUGGAAGAGCAAAGACGAAGCCAAAGUGAAUCUUUUUGAGGAAAAAUUGAUUAUGAAUCCGAUGCCAAACGCACCAUUAGAUUUCAACAAUUAUGAUUUAAUAUCCUUAAAUAUAAAACACUAACGUGACAAAUAAAAAAAUGUCAAGAAAAAAUAAUGAAUGUGGGCGAGCAUUAUUGUACUUAUCUACCACCAAUCAUCAACAAUUAAGAAUUAAUAUCCUUAAGCAUCAAGAAAAAUAAUAACGUGCCAAAUAAAAUAACAAAAGUUUAAGUCUUUGCCCCCUUAUUUCGUUAAACAAAACAUAAAAAGAAGGUUAAGUCUGAGAAUAAGUAUAUAGACUUUGUUUUAAAAAAUAAGCAAAAUAAUAAUGAAUGUUCACAUGGACAAAAAAAUAAUAAAAAAUAAAAAAUCAAAGCAUGUUUAGUCAAGCAAAUGUGUCGCCUAGGUUUCCGUAUUUGCCUUUUCAAGUUGAAAGAUUCUCUGUCAUGAUUUUUAAAAUCGAGUACAAUUAAUUAGAUAUAUCUCAUGUGUUAAAAUAAUUAGGAUGAAGAAAUUUUGAAUAUGAAAGACCAACUUGGUGUUGAAAUAAGCAAGGAGCUUGAGGCCUCGUUUGAUAUCCCUGUUAAAAGAAAGUUUAUUUUUCUUGUUAAGAGGACUACACUAGACUAGCAAAAUACCUCGAUUCAUGUGCAAUCAAGAUUAGAAUCUGACAAUGCCAGUUAUUGAAGUAUUAUGCUUUGCUUGAAUUGUUUGGCCUUGCAAUGCCUCUUGGCAUUGAUAUUUUUUUUUCUGGGCAACUUAGUUUUAGUAGAGCUUCGAAACAAUUAAUGGGCUAUAACCAAUUAUGUCCCUGAUGGGGCAUGAAAUUAAAACAUUUUGAAUUUAUUCUUUCAAAUGAUCCAGAGGAAUUAAUUCAAGUACAACAUUUAUUGAAAUGAAUGAAAUAUUCUGGUCUUCACAGUUCACAGUGAGUGUAGAAUGACUGGAACUCCACGCUGUGGGCGAACUGUCAUAAACUGAAUGGGAGAGUGGACAUAACCAGGGGAAAGGGUGAAGCUGUAGCGCUGUAGAAUCAUUGCCAGGGCAAUCUUUGCUUCCACGAUUGCGAAGUUCAUGCCCACGCAAGUUCGAGGGCCCAAUCCAAAAGGUAUGAAUGCCACUAUGUUGUUGUUAGUAGCUUUAGCAACCCCUUCUGAGAAUCUCUCUGGUUUGAAAACGUUCACGUCUUCUCCCCAAUAUGUGGGAUCAUGAUGAAGUGAUAGAUUUGGGACGUGCACUUCAACAUUAGCCGGAACAACCAUCUUUCCCAGCCUUACUUCCUUGUCUGUUUCCCUAACAAGGGAAACAACUGGAGGAUAUAGCCUUAGAGAUUCAUUCAGGAUCAUACUCAUCUGCAUAAUGAAAGGAGGAUUUCAAAACUUAACCACUGAUUUAGAUACAUAAGUUAGCAAUUAACUGAUUGAGUUUCUUACCGUUUUUAGUUUGUUGAGGCCAUCAGGGUUUGGAUUUUCUUUUCCAAAUAAUUGUAAGACCUCCUUUCUUGCUUCCUCUUGCCAAUCCGUAUCGAGUGCAAGAAGAAAGAUGGUCCAAGCAAGCAAAGAAUUAGUGGUUUCUUGUCCAGCAAAGUAAAACGUUUUGCAUUCAUCAACGAUGUCAUCCACCGAAAUCCUCUGGUUUUCAUUGGUAUCAUGAUGAGCCUUCAAAAGUACUCCAAGAAAAUCAUGCCCAAACCCGUCAGCGUCUCCAGUCUUUGCCAUACUUUCUCUUUUCCUAACAAUCCCUGCUAUGAUGUCGCGUAUUCCUUUCUCAAGCUUCUCCGACUUGAUCUCAUCACUGGUUUUGUAAAACCGACUGCAAAUUUUGAACAAAAGACUAAACAUGAGAAGUGACAACUCCAACAUUACUAAUGUUGUGAAUGGAAAAUAUUCCACAGCUAUAACAUAACCUCAUUGAUUCUUUAGGAUCAUUAAGUUAAAAGAAGCUACCUGAUGAUAGGAAGUCUGAGACUGAAAUUAUUUUUGAAUAUAAGGAAGGUCAACUGCCCCAGCAUUUCAAAAAUGUUCUUCCCGUCUAAGUAGCUGGUGCCAAAUGCUGUCCUGGAAAUAACUUCUGAGGUGAACAACCUAAAUUCUUCGUACACCUCGAUCUCCUUGCCUUCAUGAUUUACCCACCUUUCUAGCAUUGUCUCAGAGCUAGUUAUCAUUUCUGGAAUCAUACUCUGGUAACACAAGAUCAUCAUGCAGUCAAUUAGCAAAUUUUACAUUCAAUAUAAUAAUAUGUCUAUAUAUAUAAACAAACUGUACAGAAGAACUUACUUUUAAGCUCUCUCCAUGGAAGGCAUGGUUGGCCAGCUUUCUUAACUUGACCCAUUUUUCACCUUCUGCCAUGGAAAUGCUGUCUCCUAAUAACUUCUUCACGUAGCCUUGGGACUUCUGUUUUCGGAAGAGUUUAUCUUUGUUGUUCAUGACCUCUUUGGACAACUCAGGUUCCGCAAUCACCAACUGAGGUUGAGUACCAUGCCAUUGAAGAAAAUUGGUCCCUGUUGCAACAAAAUCACUAAAUUUAAUUAUCUUUGAACAAAUUGAGAUUAUAAAAAAAAAAAAAAAACCAUAGUUAAUGAAGAGUUUGUAAGACGUACCAAAUAUCUUGGACCAUUUGUGAGUAUGAGGCUGGACUGCAGGGAAUAUGUCAUGUGAUAAACUUCUGGGCCUGCUCAUGGCUUCCUUUUUCAAGCUCAUGAUUUCUUUGGUGUUUCCAUGGAUAAGUCUGUAAAAAGGGCCUUUGACUCCCUGGAGAUCCAUGAAUUUCUGGAAGCGAUUUGGGGUCCACCAUUGCUUGUAAAAGAGCCUGAUGAGAGCUACAAGGAACACAAAUAGCAUGCUUGAAACAAUGAUUACUGGCAUUCCGAUUCCGAACCAACCCAUUUUUACUAGCUUCUUUCUUCUUCUUCGUUUGGGUAAAUCGGAUGUGCCAAAACCCAAGAGACAAUUCUAGCUUGUUUUUCUAGCUUGCAUGUCAGUUUGCUGUGUACUGCAUGUGACUCUCUUCAGUUUAUAUAGUAAAUGCUUGGGCGUAUUUCGUUGAAAUAAAAUAAAAUAAAAUCAGAUGGCAAUCUUUGAAUACUUGGGAGUGUUUCGUUGACAUGACGAGUGACCAUGUGGUUAUUGAAUUAUCAUGUAGCAGAGAAACCCACUGGCACUGCCUAAUAGUAUGAUCUAUACGUCAUUUGUUCACAUAAAAUAUUUGUCACGUCAGUUGAUAACCAAACUCUAGCCCAGUGGAAGGGCCUUGACUUGCUAAUGGGUGGUCUCAUGUUUGUACCUCAUGGGCAUUGUGAUAGUGUGUGUGAGAAAACCCUAUUGAUUCUCUGUAUUUUUUUAAUAGAAAUUCUGGUAUUGUAUUCAUAAUUAAGUCAAAAAAGUAACUAACAACAAAAUGACAAUUCAAACUAGUCACGAAGAGCCCCUCCCUUGUAAUUUAGAUAUCGCUUGCACUAAAAGAAAAUAAAAAAUGGAAGAGCUAGCGCUUAAAACUAAGCUUAUCACGAGCAGCAUGCCAGCGUCGCUACUUGAUAGGCGUAUAAUACGUUGACGUGUCUAGUAUUAUUGAAUUAGAAUCUAAUGUCUAUUUUUAAAUGGAAAAUGCUAGGGAGACCAACUUUAGAUACCAACUUGUGUACCAACUCUCUAAUAGAGUGUGAGACCCAUUGUAUUGGUGGGCUCCACCUCUAUUAGAGAGUUGGUACACAAGUUGGUAUCUAAAGUUGGUCUCCCUAGCAUCACCCAUUUUAAAUAUAUAAAAAACUGAUUAAGAUAUGAAUUGGUGGCGAAUUAUUCGCACCGCGAUUGAUAAUGAAUACCCAUAAAAUAAUUAAAAAUUCAAAUGGCUACCACGUACCAUUAACAUGGGAAUUAUGUUUAUUAUCAAAUCAUAAGUUAGCACGUUUAAAUUGUAGACUGCUGAAUGUUACAAGAAUUUAGGUGAGGGAGAAAAACAAUAAGAUCAUGAGCAAAAGAAGGAGAAACAGACACAGAAAGAUUCGAAUCAGUCACUACCGGCAUUCUGAGCCAACUCAUUUUUACUUGGCUGUUUAUGUGUUUCCAGAGUCUCCUAACUUUGACUAUUUAGACCCAUCAAUUUAUAAUGUUAACCAACAAUAUAUAGUCCUCUAUAGUGGAAUAUGCACGUUACAAUUGGAUUUUAUUUUUAUUUUUUUCGUUAGUACAAGCGAUACUAUAAACUAUAGGAAGAGAGAUUUCUCACACACACAACUAGAAAUUAAUUAAUUAAACCUGAUUACUCUGACAAAAAAAAAAAACAAACAUGAUUAAAUGAUUACCUCGUGGAAAUUAACUAUUAACUCUUACUUUGACUGUCAUUUAAAUAUGGGAGACUUUGGAAAAGCCCAAAGGAGAGAGAAAAUUUUUAAAAGAAGCCAAAAUAGACAAAAUUGCCCUUUUUUUUUUUUUGAUUUCCUAAGGAAUCCUUUACAUUUGCAUGUCUUUGGUUUGAAAGUUGAGAGGUUUUUCUGUCUUUUUUGAAAAAGCUUUGGCUUUUUCCAAAAGUGAAAGUUUUUUUAUGGGUAAAACCUAAAUUUACUUUUAAAUAUCUAUUAGGAACAGUCCCGAUCUCUUGGAUCACAGGAGUUCAAGAGAUUGUGGUCACCCACCGUUGGAUAUUAAUCUAAUGGUAUAAAAAAGUUUAUUAAAAUGUUUAUGGGUAAAACCUAAAUUUACUUUUAAAUAUCUAUUAGGAACAGUCCCGAUCUCUUGGAUCACAGGAGUUCAAGAGAUUGUGGUCACCCACCGUUGGAUAUUAAUCUAAUGGUAUAAAAAAGUUUAUUAAAAUGAGUGCAAGAGUGAGUGAACCGUUGAAUUUACAUCCAACGGUGAGUGAUCACAAAUUUCUUGGACCCCUGUGGUCCAAGAGAUUGUGGUCACCCACCGUUGGAUAUUAAUCUAAUGGUAUAAAAAAGUUUAUUAAAAUGAGUGCAAGAGUGAGUGAACCGUUGAAUUUACAUCCAACGGUGAGUGACCACAAAUUUCUUGGACCCUUGUGGUCUAAGAGAUCGGGACUACUCCCGAUCUCUUGGACCACAGGAGUCCAAGAGAUUGUGGUCACCCACCGUUGGAUAUUAAUCUAAUGGUAUAAAAAAGUUUAUUAAAAUGAGUGCAAGAGUGAGUGAACCGUUGAAUUUACAUCCAACGGUGAGUGACCACAAAUUUCUUGGACCCCUGUUAGGAAAUACAUAACAUACUAGGAAGUUGUCUUCGAGUUUGGCAAAAUCUAAAGAGUCCUGCUAUUCCCACCCCCUUAUCUUAUUUUCCCACCCACCUUAUCUUCAAAAUUUUAAAAGCAAAUUUACCCUAUUGUAAAAUGACUUUUAAGGACUUAACUCUAAGUUAACAUUAUUAAGUCAAGAAAAUAAAAGUCAAAAUAAAAACAGAAAAUUAGAAUAAAUAAAUAAAAACAGAAAAUUAGAAUAAAUAAAUAAAAGAGCCCAGAAAACAACCCUCAGACUACCCACCCAACCCCGUGACAACCAAGAUUGAUUGAUGUUAAGAAAUAGUUAAAUUGGAAACUUGGAGGAAUAAAGGGCCAUGAAGUUGCUGAUAUUGAUGAAGACUAGGGUGAGCGACUUUGGCAGGCAAUGCAGUCGAAGUGUCGUCUUAGAUCUGGGCCAAUUGAUGUAAUAUUUCUCGUGGUUUGAUUGAAAUGGAGAGAGGAGAAGAAUGUUAGAUUGGGGUUUGAAGGUGUUGUUCAAUACAACUGAAAUAAUGGUGAAAGAGACAUGAGGAGGAGGACGGAGGAAGGGAGGCUUGGCCCGAGGUGGAAGGUAUGGGUGGUUCUUGUUAAGGUUUGAUGGAGUGUGCGGUGGGUGGCUGCUGAAAACCUUUUAUUUUUUAUUUAAAUUUUUCGGACUCAAUCAAUAGUGUUAAGUUAGGGUUAAAAGUGUUAAGUGAAUAGAAGAGUAUUUUAGGAAUAAUGGUGGGUGCAAAGAUAGGAUUGUGAUUUUUCAAAUUUUCAUGGGGGGUGGGUGGGGAAAUAGGACAGGUGGGUGGAAAUAGCAACACUCAACAAGUGUGUGGAAAUAGCAGCACUCAAUCUAAAAUAAUUUCGCACAUGCCAACGAAAUUAAAUUAAAAAAAAAUUAUUUCUACUACCAGUCCUUGAGGUUUUCGGUGUUUUCAUAAAAUCCAUGAAGUUUAAAAAAUUACACGAACACCCUUUGAGGUUUUAAAUUAUUUUCACAAAAUUCCUUUCCAUUGAUUUUUCAUCCAAAAUUGAUGAUUUUAUAUAUAAAAAAAUUCUCCAAAUGAAAAAGUUAGUCUUUGAGAUUAGAUUGCAAAUACAUUCAUUCAAGUUAAUUUUGUCACUUGUAUAAGUUUUCUUUUAUAAAAUCAUAUUUUUUGGAUGAACAAUCAAUGAAAAAGGAUUUUGUGAAAAUAAUUAAUUUGAAACCCCGGGGGUAUUCAUAUUAUUUUUUAAACCUCAUGGAGUUUUGUGAAAACACCGAAAAUUUCAGGGAGUGUUAAUGUAAAUAACUAAAAAUAUAUAUAUAUUUCAAAACAAACUAUAGAGUAAAGUGUAGUCGUAGAGGAGUGAAGUUUGGUUUGAAGAACCUCCUGAUUUCAUUCAGCUAAACAUGAACCACUACUAGAAAAUCAGCCACUACCCACUGAUCUAGAUACAAAUUCAUAAAAGUAGCUUUUAAAUUUUUUUUGGAAACUAAUAAUCCCACGCCUAUUAAAGAUUUUUGAGAUAGACAUUAGUGUGUAAUACAAACUAGUUCCGCACUUGCGAGAGGUUUUUUUUUUUUUUUUUUAAAAUUAAAAUUUAUUUUAGAAUUAAAAAAAUAAGGGAGCUUUAGUUUUAAAACACAACAUAGUUUACUAAUUUGGAAGAUAGUAAUACAAUUUCAUCUAAUUCGCAUAAGGCAAAAGACCAAAUUGUGGUACCUAAUUUUACAAAAAUAUCAUUAAAACAUAUCAAAAUUACACAUAAUGCCACUCCUUCUAAGGCAAGCAUACUAUGCCACAUGUCCAUAUCUAGCCAAUCAUAUCUCGCCGCCGACCACCACUGCCGGAAUCCUGCCGCCGGCCACCACCGCCGGCCACCACCACCGGACUUCCGCCGCCGGACUCCCGCUGCCGGCCACUUGCCACCACCACCGUUGGCCGCCAUCGCCUGCCACCGUCUGUAGAUGACCAACUCUGUUGCCCUUUAUUCACCUUUUAAAAAAAAGAUUGUGUCAUUGAAUAGACUCGAACCUUGACCCUCAAAGGAGGAAGGCUCACUCACAAACCACUACACCAAACUUGAUUUUGUAAUAUUUAUUCAAUUAUACAAUAUUUAUAUAAACAAUCAAUGGUUUAUUAAAAAAAAUAAUAAUAAAAAGCAUUUCAACACUUAUUCACACAAAAACUGCAAAUAAAAACAGAAACUGCAACAAAAAUGUUAUGUUAAAAAAACAAAAACAAAAACGAAAACAGCUACAAAAACAAUUGUAAUUAAAUGAAAACUGCAAUGCAGUUUCCGGUUUUCAAAAGUCCAAUUUUGAGUUCUCUUGCUCUUAGGUAUUUCUACUCUUCUCUUGCCCACCUAAUUCCUCAUCUAGGUAGCUUCUACUCUUUAAAUUGGUGAGGUUGAAGACCAAGGAAAGAGCAAAAAUCCAAUUGUAAUUAAAUGAAAACUGUAAUGCAGUUUCCGAAACUACAAUGCAGUUUCCAAAAGUCCAAUUUUGAGUUCUCUUGCCCACCCAAUUCCUCAUCUGGGUAGCCUCUACUCUUCAAAUUGGUGAGAUUGAAGGCCAAGAAAAGAGCAAAAAUCCAAUUGUAAUUACAAAAACUGCAAUGCAGUUUCCAAAACUGCAAUGCAGUUUCCAAAACUGUAAUGUAGUUUCUGAAACUGCAAUGUAGUUUGUGCAAAACUAUAAUGCAGAACUUGUAUAAAAUUUUACUGAACUAAAGCUUAAAUGGUAUUGCAAAAUAUCAUAUGACAGUGAUGUCAUAAACAACAAGCAUCUCUAUCCUAAGAACCGCAAUAUGAUCUCAAGUUUCCAGGUCGAAAUGGAAAAUAUAGCUAGAAACAAAACAAAAUUGAAAUAUGCAUUGCUGCAAACUAAAUAAUUUAGAUAGCAAACUCCACAAGUACAAAGAGAAGGGAAUCAAAUCAACACUAGCUUAACAACUCAAUAACCAACAACCUAUGGAUUACGGGGCAAAACCUCCAAUGUAUCUCUACCAAGCAUAAAAAAAUCACAAAUAAAAGAUAUCAUGAAAAUGUAAAGUAAUUACUAGUCAAAACCCAGGCAUCAAAAUUCUGUAAACCAGUAAAGAAUCACUGGUGAAACCCACAAAUAAAUGAAGGUGUCAAAUAGCAGUAAACAUCUAGCAUGUAAUCAAAUAGAAGAUUUCAGAAUCAAAUGAGACAACACAGUCAAAGGGAUUACCAGGUAUGGAAAAAUUGAACACAGGAGGUAAAACUGCAGACUUCCAGGUAUAAGCAAAGUUGUUUGUGUUACCAGCCUACAGCAAUUUCAAAGUAAAAAAGAAAAAACAAAAACAAAAAAAUAAAAAACAAAAAAACAAAAAACAAAAACAAAACUUUCAAUAAGAACUUGAAAGUAAUAUUCAGACGUAUUUAUAGACAUGAAGGAGGGCAAUACAUGUGUGGUAAGUGAUAAUGCCACCAGGUUUUCAGAUGAAGAAAAGCUACCACUCUAAUACAUUCAUAAACGAACUCAAACACAACAAAGUAGCCACAGUUCAAAUCUCAAAACAACACCACCGAAAUUAAACAAAAAAAAUCUCAAGAAAAGCCCAUUUCCAAGUAAUUCAAUCACAUAAUAUAAAAACCAGAACACACCAGAUUCAAAAACAUCACAAUAAUUAGCAUAGGUUUUGAAUUACCGCAGGAGACGGAGAUCUAUUAGGCCGAGUCACCGAAAUAGCAGGAGGAGCCUUUGAGCUUUGCGAAUUCACCGGCAUCGAUCCUCCAAUUGCUUCUCCAUGGAUGGGAAAACGCCUUCUCCGCCAGCAAUCGUGACGCCAGGCCAGGACGAGCCGUCAUCAAUUGCUUCUCCGCUAGAAAAUAGAAACGCUUUCUCUGUCAUUGAUUGCUUCUCCGCCGGAAAACGAUGGAAGACGCCUUCUCCGCCGUCGAUCCUCUUCUUGCUUCUCUGCAGGAAAAGGCCUCCAAAGCUGGGCGUGAUAUGGCUCCCAUAUAAAAUAAAAGGGGUAAAAAUGUUAUUUCAAAUACAAAUUAAACAAGCUUAAAGAGCACAUGGGUAGGGCUAUUGGCUUUUAAAAAAAUAAAAUUUAAAACUCAUCCACUAUAUCUAAAACAAAAAUAGAUAAUGUAUC
rnacentral:lncRNA from 1 species